UACUUUUUUUUUUUUUUUUUUUGUAAUUGUACAUUUGUGCCCUAUAUCAAUUUGUACAUGUAUUGCUAAAAAAUAGGAGAACUUAUUUGAUCAAACCUUCAAAGUAGUGUAGAAACGUGGGGUAGUAAUCGUGUAUUUUUAUCAUUUUUCUUGUAAAUUUAUCAAAUAGUCAGCAAAAUUACCUUGGUAAUUGAGAUUCUUUAUUAGUACCCCCGUUAUAAUCAACGUAUGGCGAUGGAAAUGUGUAUUACAACAACCAUAAUGAGAGUCAGCUUCUAAAAUACUACCUAGUUGAAAGGUAACAAUACACACUAUUUAGAACAAGAAACAAAUCAAACUUUGUAGUAUUCAAACUUAUUAGUUAUUUUAACUAGUUUAAAAUUUUGUUCAAACUUAUCUUGUUUAGUCAUUAUAUCGAUUUUGAACGAGUUUUUUUUUUUUUUUUUAUCGAACUUGAGAGUUGUCGAGCACAAAAAGUUAUUCAAAUUUGGAUUGACUAAUUAACGAAUCAAAUUGAAACAAACUCUUAUCAAAUCGAACUCGAUUCGAGUAUCAAAUAGUUAGAUUCACCAACAGGGGUUGGUUCGAGUGGUAAGCGGUUCGGAUUCGCUUAAGUAGGUCUCGUGUUCGAGUCCUAGUGUACGCAGACACCCCUGUUGGGAGACUCACCCACCAUAGCCAGGUGCGCGACGCGGGUCGGGUCCGGAUUAGUCGGGGCAAAGCUUCGGAUACCGGGCGGGCAACCAAAAAAAAAAAAAAUAGUUAGAUUCAUCUUUCAAUUCGAAAAGCAUUCUUUAGAAGAUAUUACAAAUAAUAUUCUUGGGCCACAGAAGGUCUUUAUAUCUUGAGUAAAUUGUUAUUUAACGCUUUGAGAUCUUUGUCAUCUCAAGCUCUCUCACAAAUUUAGAAAUUCUAGUCCAUUUGCCAUUGAAACAAACAUCCUUAAUCACGAUUAAGGGCAGUCUAACUAUGUGGGUAUACCUCCCAUCUGCCCCAAUCCUUUCAAUCACCAGGAUCAGGCCCAAGCCAAGCUCACACAAACUACAUAUUUUAACAAUAAGUAGGGUGUCUACAAUUUUGACAAUUAGAGAUGCCAUUACUGUGAAAGCCCAAGGAUGACGGGCCUACAGUUUAAGUAGGCCCAUUUCAUUGUGUUAAUCAGAAAUAAUACAAGAAACAAUAUAUACUACAAGAACUUCAGUCCAUACUUGUAAUACCAAAGAGGUGGCAUCACAAUUGGCACAUUCCAAUUGCCACUGCAGAAAUAUUGAAUUACAUUUCUCUCUUUUUGAUUCUUUCUUGCCUCACCUUCUUAAAGAAUUCAAAAUAGAAAGAAACAGAAAAUAGCACCUAGAGUUAUGUAGUGUAGUAAGCAAAUCUAACCCAAAAAAAUAAAAAGAAGAAUUCUUAGUUAAGAGAGAGAGAGAGAGAGAGAAUUCUUUUAGUAAAAUCAACCAUUCUAAAAAUGCUUGACCUUCAAUUCUCAUCCAGGUGCAAUCCAAUAUAUGUACUAUGUACUGUGUAGUACCUAAACUAAAGGGUUUCGUGCUUAAAAUUAAAUGUCAAGUUUUCAUUUUAUUGAUGUUCUAAAAUAAGAGUCACAAUUUCAAAAUUAACACAUAUUUUUCAAUCUUACUAUUUGAAAAAAUAUUUUUAAAAAAAAAAAAAUUUCAAUGCACAUCUAGUAAUGGAAUAUUUUGAAUUGAAAGAAUACAUAUGUAAAUUCAUCGCUGUCAUCUCAUCUGAACGUAAUAAUUGCCAUAUCUACGUAAAAAGUUAAAUUCCAAGAAACGAGUCUAUAAGGACAGAGGGAGUACUAAUAAUUGGUUUUUAGCAAUCAAUCAUCAUCAUCAUGCAUCAGGCUUUAACCUUUGAGUUGAUGAGGCAUAAAGAAGAAGGGGGAAAAAAACACCCCACAACACACGUCCUUCUCUUGACCUUUUCUAAACUGAAGUUUAGAAAUUCGGCUUUUAUAAACCUAAUCCCACAAGAAACCUCAAAAGCCGGCAACUCUUGAGCUCCUUCCAGGGACUUAUAAACCAAACCCAAACCCCCCCCAGAACCGAUGUGGGAUGGCAAACCCCACAAGGGCAAGCCAGUAAGGCCGCUGCUGCUAAGAAGUAAAGACCCCUCACGACACUCAGUAAACUACCCUUGCAUGAAUUUGCCUCUUGACCUUUUCUAAACUGAAGUCUAGAAAUUCGGCUUUUAUAAACCUAAUCCCAGAAGAAACCUCAAAAGCCGGCAACUCUUGAGGUCCUUCCAGGGACUUAUAAACCAAACCCAAACCCCCCCAGAACCGAUGUGGGAUGGCAAACCCCACAAGGGCACAACACACGUCCUUGAUCUUAUGGCAUUUUAUCCCAUGGUGAAAAGGGCAAUUGAUUGGACAAAUGCUUGUGCGAUAACUCCGCGGGACUCUUGGCAUUUUCACAUGGUCCUUUCACUGGUUUGAUAUUUGUCCCCAUUACCCAUUGUCAAACGGCACGUGGUAGCUGCAGGGCCAUUUGUGCUUCAGACCAGAACCGGCAGACAUGAAUCCAAGCAUCCAUCUAAGAAGAAAAAUGAAGCCGUGAACACAGGAAAUGAUGACAUAACAGUGUGCUGCAAUGCAAUUUCAACUUGUGGUGGAGGAAACUCAAAAAAUGAAACGUUAUAGGUAAGUAUAACUUAUCAACGGGUGUUAUUAAUAGUUGGUGGAUUUUUUUUCUUGUGGAUAAAAGCAGUAGGGUAAUUGGUACUUGAAGGGAUGGUACAUGGAUAGUACCAUCAGCCAUGUGUAGAACUUCUGCAACUAGCAGGAGAUUGGGAAUUUGGGGUACCCCACUUCUUGUUAUCUUGUACUGGUUCUCACCUCUCAGUGACCUUAUUUUUGGAGUUCAUGAGUUGAUCAUCUAAGUGAGGACUUUAGUUCAAAUUUGUCCAGUUCUUAUGCUAUAAUGGAAAAAAUGUUGGGAUGAUUUUUUUUUGGGUGUUUUUGGAAAACUUGUAUAGUAGCACCUUGUUCAAACGAGUGCAUGUGAGGUAAAUCGGUAAUUGGAGUACUGCCUGAAAGAUUUCAAAAGUUGAGUUUGUUUUUUCAGAAAAAAAAAAACCUAUGUGUUUGGAUAUCUCAUUAUUCCAAAUAAUAUUUCACUUGUAUUAUAAACACAUUUUUCAAUCCACUUAUUUAUAUUUCUAACCACCUUUUUAUCUCAUAUACAUCACAUCAUAAAAUGUGUUACAGUAAUUAUUUCAAAUAAUACUUUAUUCAAACGGAAUGGUGUCUCACCUACAAGAGCAAUGAGUUUGUUUUUUCAAAAAAAAAAAAAAAACAUUGUUUUAAUAAUGUACUUGUGUCUAAGGAAUCAUAAACUCCAGCCUUCCUUUAGAUGCAUGUAGAAAAUAUUUUUCAAAGAAGAAAAAACUUGGCAUAAACAUGUUAGCUGUUUGAUCUAGGUUGUAGUUAGUCUGACUGUAUUUCGAUAGUAAAAUUAUUUUCAUUUACUGUAACACUUUUUGUGAUGUGAUAUAUGUAAAAUAAAAAGAUGGUUGAGCAUAUAAAAAGAGGGAUUGAGAAAUGUGUUUAUGAUACAAGUUAGAUAUUAUUUGGCAAAUUUGAGCUAUCCAAACACGUACAUUUCCCAAUUAACUUCUUGUUUUUCCAGUUAACUUAUUAAUCUCACGUACAUUACAUUCCAAAAAAUAUUACAGUAACUAUUCCAAAUAAUAUUUUAAAUAAUCCCCUAUCUCAACACACUCUGUGUUACUAUUUUUACGUUAUAAGGGGACACUUUAAAUUCCCUAUUUUUUUUCUGUGUCCGACGAGUUUUGUUUGGAGAGAAAUGUAUAAACUAAUUAACUAAUAUUGCACAAUCAUUUACCUUUACCAUACUACCACUCUCAACGAAUUUUGAUGUUUCUACUACCAUGAAUCCAUUUGAAGAUUUCAAGAAAACCUCUAGCUAAACUUUUUCGACGAAAUCAUAUUUGCAGGGACCAAAAGCAUAAUCAUACUGGCAAUUUUGAUAGGACUUAAAAGAAAAAAAAAAAGCAGAUGCAAUAUUGAAAGAUGAGUAGAUAUGCUCAUUUCCUCUUGCUAGAUAAAAAGGGCUUUGGUGAUAAGGAAAGGAGAUUAUAAAUCUAUUAUUACUGAUUCAUAGUGAAGCAUGUGGCUGUAGUGUUUUUAUUUGAUUGAUGCAGACUUGUGAUUCAUUCAAUUUGGAAACUGGUCCUCACGAUGGUCUUUGUCAUUGCACAUCAAAAUUGAGAAUUAUCCCCUCCACAAUCUAGAAAUAUUUUUAUGAUUAAUCAACAGCAACGACAAUAACUUUUCUGGGCCCCAUCGUAAACUCCAAACCUUAUCUGAAUAGAAUCCUUACUCUUUGGGAUAAGGCUAGUAAUAAAAAUCUUCCAAAAGAAUCCGCCAAAUGUCAAGUACAUGUACAUGAAAAUUAGUAAGAUCAUACCACUUCUUUAAGAUACUUAGUAAAAAUCCAGUAAAUCACUUGUAUAUGUGUGUGUCCUGAUUUUUUCUGGUAAUUGGAGUCGAUUCCAUUCAAAUUUUGUAAUGCUAAAUAAGGGAAAAAAAAAGAAGAAGAAGAAGACAGCCUCGUAUCAUUGAAUGUUCAAAUUAUGCAUAUGAUUUUCUUCUUUUCUUUAGUAAACGGGAGGUUUCGAACUGGAUCUCUUAUUUAUAAUUCCUUCUAUUUUACCACCUUACUCCAAUCCUGCCACCCUCCGAUUUUCAUUGUUAUACUAGUAUAUUAUAUUUCACAUUGGGAUUUUUUUUUUGAAAUUAUUUUUCCAUCUCAAGCGUCAGACUAAGAAAAUCAAAGAAACUAUGAUGCUUCCUAAUUGUUUAAUACCUCUCAAUAUAUCAAUCAUACUGUUAUAUAUCUUUUCUUCUUUUUUUUUUCUUUUUCCCUUUGAGAACUCAAUAUACCUACCCUCAGUGAGACUCAUCUGAAUUCGGCUCAAGGAGCGCUCGCAGAGUCCGACUCUUGCCCGGGAAUGGAAGGCCUGAUCUAGAACUUUUCGAGGCGCUUCAUAUAGGAGUCAAAUUUGCUACCUCUUGUUGCCAUUAAUAACCCGCUUACUAGCUGCUCCAAACUCAUGGGUUAUCAUCUUUCCUUUCUUCAGUACUUAUGUGUGUGUCUGAUUGUUUUGUACAUAUCAAAAUUACAAGUACUAACUUUAAUUUGCAUUCUCAAACUUUUAUAAAAUUUUUAUUUUAUACUCUAAACUUUAAGUUUGGACACUUUGCAUUAUAAACUUUCAAUUUUAAAUACUUUGCACCAUAAACUUUUAGGAUUAUCCCAUUUAAAUCCAAUUAACAACAACUUUAACAAAAUUAACGGCAUAGAAGACCCAACAAAUCAAUGACAAUAUGCCAAAGGUGGUCAAAAGCAUCAAGAUAUCAUAAUAAAAAUAAAAUAAUGAAUUGUCAUUAAUUUGCGCCAUCUUUUAUUUUGUUAAUUUUGCUAACAAUAUGAGUGAUUGUGACCAUAUAAAUCAAUGACAAAAUGUUGAAAGUGAUCAAGAAAAGGUUAAGACAUUGCAAUUAGAACAAAAUGGUAUAUUGUCAUUAAUUUUCACUAUGCUGUAUCUCAUUAAUUUUGCGAAGGUAAUUAAUUAUUGGAUUUAAACGGGACAAACUUGAGAAUAGAGCGUAUAAAAAGAAUUUAGGGUGCCAAAUACCCAAAAUUGAAGUUUAAAAGACAAAGUGAAAAAAUGAUUCGAGCAUGUAAAGUGAAGUUAUUUCAAAAUACAAAUUAACAUGUAGACAGAGGUAAUUAUCACACAAACUAUAAACUUUCGGAGUCAAACUCAAAAAGAUGAUUCAUGUUAUUCUCCUACUAGAGUGAGAAAUCAUAGUUGUGAGAUAUGUUAGUUUUUGGAGCUAACCGUGUCGACCAUAUAUCCUUAUGCAGAUGCUUCAAUCGUUUUCUUCGUAGCUCAUCAUAGAUAAGUUGCUUAAUUCCUAGUGGAUUUUUUUGACUUUUUUGAGCGAAUAAUGCAUGCAUCUCUAACAAGGUAUGCUUGGAAGUAGCGACUGACAGUCAAAAUCAUAGUUGUGAGGAUUUAAGCCUCCUUAAAUAUGCUAUUCCUAUCUGGUAUUGUUUACUAGAUUGGAGUACUAGAAUUUUGUUCCAAGACUCUUGACAAUAAUAUUAGCAAAUUUCCUAAUACAAAGGCCAUCCAUUUACUCCCUCCCUUUUUUCAUAACUGACGUUUAAGGUUUUGCACACCAAUUAAGAAAAGUUAUUCAUUGCUUAAAUCGGUACACUACUUUCCUUUUAUACCCUCAUUAAUUGUCCAAUUCACCCAUAUUUUCUCUCACUAGAGUACUAAAUGGUGCUGUUUUACUAGGCCAAAAGUAAUGCAAACUAACUCCCACCAAACUAGGAGUAGUAAUUAAGAACCCUGUAUUGGAAAAGAGAGAUAAAAGGGUAAAAUUGUGAAAAAAUAAUUAAUACUGUAUGGGGAUAAUAAAACGACAGAUAAAAGUACACUAGAGCAAAUUUCUUAAACGUCGGUUAUAAAAAAAGGGAGGGAGUAGCUUUGUUCAUUUGAACUCGGAUAAUUUAAGUUGGAAUGCAUUCACCAUGCAAUAUUUAUUUUGUUUUAUUUCUUUUAUUAAAUAAGCAAAUCUAGAUUGGUACGUAUUACUGUCUCCAUAAACAUUAGAAUUUAGUUGAGUGCACAUUAUGUAGCAAAAAUUUACACAAAACAAAGGUACUUCUGCAUCUUUCUGUUUACAGUAUAAGAUCAAACGCUAGAAUUCACACCAGAUUAAUUAUUAAAGUUUUUUUUUUUUGACCAGAUUAUUAAAGUUAUUCAUGUUGGCACUUUUGUCAAAUGUGAUUCUUUAUUUCUUGAUUCUCUCUUGAUUGACAAACACUGAAUGGUGGAAUGAACCUAUCUAACCUAAACCGAGCACAAAUUAAUGAUGAAUUGUUUGAAAACCCAUAUCAGCAUCAUUCAGCCCCACAGGGGCCACAAGGCACACUUGAUUUGGUAGGCGGCUAAUUAUGAAUCACUCAUGUCAUUACCUCUUAUUUUAGAAAUUAUCUGGAUUUGUAUAGCACCUCUUUUUGGAUAAUUAACUGAAAAUGCUUUGUGUUUUGUCCAUCAUGGUGUCUUGGGGAAUUUACGAUAUCCCCAACACAAGGAUCAGAAUCCAGAAUUGAAAAUGAUUACUAAAUACACUUGUCUUGUUCAGGUACUGAAAAUUAAAACGACUUCACUUACAGAAAACGACUAACAAUCAUGAUAUUUCGUAACAAUAGACAUAAAUAUGAGAAUCUCUUACAAACAUCUAGUAUGAAUAUAACUUGCAUGGUUUACUUUUAGAACGUGAAAGAUUUGACAAUUGGAAGAUGCAUGCACGGUAUAUUUACUCUAACCUACACGUAAAAAAAAAAAAAAAAAAAGGUAAAGAGUGAUUCUACAUGCAUCAGAUAUAAAUAAAGCCAAACGCUAUACCAUAUCCUCAGAAAGCUGCACAUCUAAAGAAGAGAAUGUUUCGACAAACUAUCCAAAUACUUUAGAAUAGAUGCUGGAAGUUAAUUCUGUUCUUGUUUAACAGAAAUGCAAUUUGAAGAGUUUGUCUUGUGACAAAAUGAUGCGACAGGUAGAGGCAGAAUUGAUUGAGGACCUUAUCCUAUUUUCUAAAGAAGCAAAUAACUGUAGUUAAUGGGGCAAUUGCAUGCGGGUUCACUACUUCAUCUACCAACAGCACUCGAGGGUGUACAAGUUACAGCAGGAACAAAAAAAGCACAGACGCCUCCAUCCAAUUUGCACCUGGAUUCUCAAAAGUUGGUAUUCAAGUUUUACAAGAAGUUGGCAAAUCCUAAAUUUUUUGAAGUAUCGGUCUUUUUUUUUUGGUUUAUAAGAUUAUAGUGUGUACAAUGGAAACUUAAAAUGGUGAGAUAAGUACCAAAAAUUACAUUCAGAUGAUGGGAAUAACUACUCAUAGUGGAGUAAUAUUUAUAUGAGCACUGGAGGGUGACCCGAAGCUGAUUGGGCUAAUCCACCUGGUUUUAAAACCUGAAUCUUCAAAAGACAAUUCUUGAAUCAUUUGGUGGAAAAACUGUCCAAUGUAGCACAGCACCUCAGUUUGGUGGAUUUAUUUUUGUUUUUAAAAAUCAUAUUAUCACUCACAACCCUUAGGCUUAGUUUAAUUGCUUAAAUUGAGCAGAUUCCUGUUUUAUUGAAGCACUUGCAGUAUAUUUUUUGCAUUUUAGUUUUAGCACAUGCAAUUAAGCAGGAAAAGAAAAGCGAGAGUUCAACAAUUUUAGGGUAAAUCCCAAUCGGUGGAUUUAAGAUAAUAAAUAAAUUUUAGUGGCCAAGAGAGGCCGAACUCUUCGAAUCUUUUCCGUUAUCAGAUUCAAAGGUGAAAGGUGUAUACAUAUAUAUAAAGAAAUAGCUUGAAUAAAUGUGAAAUCUUUUUACUACUAUUCCCCCACCAUUCAAGAAUUAAUUUGUUGUUCAUUUAGGUAUUAUGACACCAUUUUGGGUUUGGUAUUAUCUUUUUCUUUUUCUUUUUUAAUGUGGAAUAUCCUGAGCAGAUUACUACAACAAAGGGAUUUCCUGACAUUGUGUCCCCUGAGUUUCCAACCUGGUAGACCUAAUUAAUAGACCUAAUUAAUAGGGGAGUGCCACGUUCAUCACGUGCUCUUCAUGCACCGAUAAAAACAUGAUUGAUUUUUCCACCAAAACCACAUGAGCAUCACGUGCUCUUCGUGCUCCUCUGAACGAAGGAAAACCUGGUAGACCUAAUUAAUAGACCUAAUUAAUAGGGGAGUGCCACGUUUAUCACGUGCUCUUCAUGCACCGAUGAAAACAUGAUUGGUUUUUCCACCAAAACCACAUGAGCAUCACGUGCUCUUCGAGCUCCUCUGAACGAAGGAAAACCUGGUAGACCUAAUUAAUAGACCUAAUUAAUAGGGGAGUGCCACGUUCAUCACGUGAUCUUCAUGCACCGAUGAAAACAUGAUUGGUUUUUCCACCAAAACCACAUGAGCAUCACGUGCUCUUCGUGCUCCUCUGAACGAAGGAAAAUAAAUGAGUGCUCCCUUUAUUUGUGUGACAGCCCCACCUUCCCCUAAGGCGAACCAAAGAGGUUAGCGGACUGCCUGCCCAGCUCUCGCCAGAACUAACGGUGCAGUAUAGAGCGAUCUAUCACGUUCCGGAACUUAUAACGCGCGUAAACAAGGCAAAAGGGCAAAAGAACCCAAAAUAAAAAAAAUAAAAUUCGGAGUCGGCCAAGAAUAGCAACCGACCCUUCCGAACCCAACCAAACAUCGAAAUACAUAUACAACAUAACAUUAAGCAUUUACAAGCCAAAAUGGCAUUUAAAAGUGAUACAAAAGUCACUACAUAUGUGGUUUGCCAAAUCAAAAGUGAAAACGGCCCUAAUGAUCCAUUUAGGGUCCCAAUUCAUAUACAAUACAAAAGAGACAUUCAUCUAGUUCAUUCGGCAAUCAUCUAUCAAGAUAUAUUCCAAAAAAGUCAUAUUCCUGUAAGGAAAACAAAAGGAACGGGGUGAGCUAAUUGCCCAGUGAAAAUACAACUCAAGCAACCAAGUUCAUAGAUGCAUCAAGCUUAACAGUCCAAUUUACCAAAAUAAGUAAAGCCACACAUCAAUAAUGAGGAUAAAAGGAUACGUGUGGCUCUCAAGAGCCCUUUUCCUCGUUUGCAUUCUUGAUCGGAUCUCAUUGACUCUCCGUCAAUGUUUAAAAGUAACCAACCGUAGACUACACUUUACUUCCAUUCCAUUCCACCUAACAUUCCUCAACCCCGCCCGCAAUCCAAACACAUGCAUGGUGGUAUUACUCGAGUAAACCGGAAUCAAGAGUCUCUCAUACUACAAGAUUCCAUAAAACAUUGCCCCACGGCACAUUAAUUGGCACGACCAAGCCCUCGCCGGCUCGAUUCAAUAAAUUACCAAUGGGGUUGAGUUCAAAGAUAACAAUUGUAGUCGUUGGACUCGUCCAAACGACAUCAAGUCAUGUAUUUCAUUUCAUAUAACAUUUCAUAUAGCAUUCCAAUAACUUUCCAAUAACAUGCGAAACAAUAAGUGAAAGUGAUAAAGUACACUCUCACUUCAAUCAAGUAACAUUCAACAUCUCAAGUUCAAGUAUCAAAGUCAUAUAAUAACACAUAAGUGAGUAGUACACUCACCACGCUAGCAAAGGUGAUUUCAAGCACUUUAGUCAAAAGAAUGUUGUGCACCACCGUCACGCCCUAAAAACAUGCAAACAAGUACAAUAAGACUCGAUAACGAGUCAUAAACCAAGGCCAAACAUGACCCCAGUAGGGUUCCAUAAGCAUAAACAAACAUGAGAGAAAACCAGAAAUUUCGGAAAUGCAAUUAGCCUUGGCCUUGAAAAAACAGUUUUUGUCCUCAUUUUGCGGUAAUGGCACCAAUUUCACUACGCUUAUCGGAUGAGGGUGAAAGACCCACCAUCUCGAAGCUAAAAGACAGGGCUACAACAUCACAGAAGGUCACUCAACCCAGUUUUGAGUGCAAACAGGUAAAAAAUGCAAGAUACUUCAACAACAACGUAAAACAGAUUCACCAAAACGCAUUCUAGCGAAAACAUUAUAACUCAGGCUCUACAAGUCCAAAUCUGGAAAUUCCAAAACCAGCUGAAAGCUAAGGAACAGGGCUAAAUUUCAUCAGAAGGCCUCAACAACCAAUUCGGAAGCAAUUCCAGCCAAAACAACCAAUUACAGUCGCAAAUCCCAAUUUCGGGUAAAGCCAGAACAGCAAUAGUAAUUUCAACUUUUCUCACUCUACGCUACUCCGAUUGACCUGAAAUUUUGUAGGCACCUCUAAAAUGUCAUUCCCUACAACUUUCAUGUUUUGAGCUAAGGCCAAUUCGGCCUCUAUCUAUGACCUAAAAUUUCGGACAGAAUGUAGCUUCAAGAACCCUAGAUUUUUCAAUUUUCUUCCAAAACCGAAAUUGGUUGCAAUUAAUCACAUUUCCCACCUCCUUAAGUCAUUAAAGACCAUUUCCAAUCAUCAUAGAUGACCCCAUAAUCAUGCUUAUAUUAAAACAGAAAAAUCCCCAAAAAUAAUAAAAUUCCAUCAUUUCAACCACAAAUCAAGAAUUAAUCCAUAAUAUUGCAUCUCUUACUACCACUAAGCAAGAUUUAAGCAUCAAUUAAAGGAGGAGGGUGGUUCUUCACAACUUACCUUUAAAAGAAGAGAGAGAGAGCUAUUGAUCACCUUAACCUUCCAAAUAACUUCACCAAACAACUCACAAACACUACUUGAAGGUGUUUUAUGGAGUAAUUUCAAGGUUGAAUGGUUGGUUGUGAUGAUUUGGAACAAGAUUGAAGUGUUUUCUUCCUUAUGCUUGGAGUAAGAGAGAGAGAAAGAAAGCUUGAGAGGGCCGGCUCUUCUUGAAGAUUUUUGGAAGAUUUUUGGGUCAUUUUUGGUUAUUUAAAGUCAAAUGGUAAGAAUAGGAAUAGUGGUCAAAUGGCAAGACUAAAUCUUAUGGUGACACUUGUCACCUUUUAUUAAAUGCUCACCUACCUUGUCUCCCUUAUAUCAAUCCACUUAGCACCCUCUACUUAUCUCUUAACACCCGGUAAAUUUAAUUUCAGUAUCCAAAACUUAAUCUAGUCGGUCGAAUUUUUCCGAACUUUUCGCACUAGUGGGUCCCACGUCCGGUAUAUGCUCUUAAUUCCUCAAAAUCCAUUUGAUACUAGAAAAAUCAUCUAAAAAUUAUAUCUGCUCCUUAAAAUUACCUAGAAAAUUUUCUAAUCACGAAAAUGCAGAAAACAAGUCAUGAAAAAUUCUAAAACCUAGAAAAUGAAAAUUACGGGUUCUCACAAUUUGCACUAGCACCCAUUCAAUCGUUCUUCACCCAAAUCAGUAAAAAAAAAAAUCGAGAAAAAAGAAAAUAGGCAAGAGCAAAACUUUUCCUCAAAGAAAAAAAAAUAAAAAUAAAACAAAAUGAAAAAGAAAGGAACUAAAAACUAUGGAUGUGGGAGAGGAAUGAAGUUCCAGCGGUGUAUAAUGAUUGAAAAUGUAGUCCAUGCAGACGUAAAGAUACAUGAUAGUGAACUCAAUAUGCUACACCACAUUUGGAAAAAGAUAAGAAAAAGAAUAUUUCAGCUUCAAAAACUUUGUCCCAUCACCUUUUAUUUUUGUUUUUUCCAAGAUGGGGGAAAAAAUCUGAACGAAACAAGUGAAGGAAAAAGGGGAUCUAAGGGGACACUAAUUUAUAACUUUGAGUGAAGGCUAAAUGAAAUGAAUCUUCCAUUGGACAAAUUAGACCAAAAGAAUUUUUAGGAAAUUUAACCCUUAUAAACUACUAUUCCUUUCGCCCUAUUGAAUGUGUCAUAUUUUUCAUUUUAGAAUGUUCCAAAAUAUUUGUCAUGUUGAAAAAGUUAAAACAACUUUUAAUUUAUCUUUCCAAUCAUAUGCAUGUUACCAUUCAAAUUUAAAAUUUGAAUUUGUGGAGGUAAAAUUGAAAAGAGAAACACAAACAUCACAAUCAAACCAUUAUUGUUAAAAAGUUGGAUUCCCCGAACAUGACUAAAUAAUUAGGAUGGAAGAAGUAGUAUUUUAAUUGAAAAUUAAUUGUUCUGAACUUCUAUCAUAGUUGCAUCUCCAUACAAAGGAAAAAUAAUAAUAAAGUAGGAGGUUUUGGAUCCAAAUUUUUCCGCUUACAAAGUAUAAAAGUAGGGAGAGGGUUAAGUUGAAUAGUAAUGUGAGAGGGAUUAUAACUAGAAAGUUUUGGAUUCAAUACCUCUCACUUACCAAGGAAAAAAAAGUUGCAUCUCCUUAUAGCUGAUUUUUUUUUCUUUCGGUAGAAAAUAGUUCAAAUGGAUUCGACUCCGGUCACAAUCAUAGGUCAAGGUAUGCUCUAGGAUCAUAAGUUGCUUACAGAGACUUUAACAAAUCACCCAUCAAAAAAAAAUUGCAUCUCCUUAUAGAUUAAAUCAUUUUUCUUUUGGUAGAAAAAAUUCGAGUGGACUCAGAUCCGAUCACAAUUAUAGAUCAAGGCAUGCCUCUAAAAUCAUAAAUUUUUAUAAAUUGCCCACCAAUAUAGUUCUAAAAAAAGAAAAGUUUUAGUGGAUUUGACUUCGAUUACUAACACAGGCCAGGGCAUGUUCUUCGAAUCAUAGAUCGUUUACAGGAAUUUUUACAAUUUGCUCAUUAAUAUAGUGCUCAUAUCAGCAGCGAGAGCAGCAUGUCGGGGCAUUGUUUCGGAACCAUAAAUCACUUGAGUACUUAUCAAUACAGUAUUUGCAUCGACAGCGAGAUUAAAUUUGAAUACACAAUUUGCUACCAAAAAAUGGUUCGCCCUUAUCAACUGUACUGGCCCAUGCACCUGAAUGAUUCUCGGUAGCCUCAUCUUGACUUCAUUGUUAACCUUAUCCUUGAGCCUCAGUUGUCAUAGGCAUCUUUUGUUUCUACAAGCCCCAGGAGAAAAAGCACUUAAGAAGUGCUGAAUUUUGUGACCAGAGCGACAAAAGGACAUGAACCUUUUAUUAUCUUAUCUCAAAUGUCAUGUACCAGGAUUAUUCAAACCUUUGAAAAAAUCCACAAUGCCUGCAAAACGUACGUUGGUACAGUAACAGGUUACUUUGGCUCCAUGCGCAUCUUCACAUGAGUUGUCAAUUUGAACAAGGGUUAACGAACCAUUGGGCCAAUGGCUCAGUGGCCACUAGGGAGGGGUUUAAGUUCCUCCUUGGACUGUAGGUGAGGGUUCAAAUCUCAUCUGCAGCAGAAAAAAGUUUAAGAGUUGUACUAGAACACUCUCUUGGUCUAGUUGGGUCUGUAUACAUCCCCUACCACAGUCUCCUUAGGCUCCCCCUCCCCCUAGAUUAGAAUAAAGUAAGUUAUACAAAUGUAUUUUUGCUGACAAAAAAAAAAAAAAACAAGGGUUAACGGCAAUUCGUAUCCCUUCACUAUUAUGGAUUUGUGGUUUGCAAUUAAAACUACUAAAAUUGUGGCACUUCAAUAUUUUUGUACUAUCAAUUUGUAGCGAAUAUUAUAUAAUUCAAUUGAAAAUCCAUGAACCCUGAUAGCUAUUUAUCAACAAAAUGAACUUUGUACACCGAAAUUAUCCAGAGUAUAAGGUACUAAACUCUUUUCGUCACAAAAUUGUUACUACAAUGUUUGUUGAUUUUCAAUUGAUCUAGAUAAUGUGCCACAAAUUGGCAGUACAAAGUACUACUAAAGAGCUAAAGAAAAUUGAGAAUUUUAUGGUGCCAAAUGCAAAAUGGAAAUUGAGCUAAAAUUGUUUGUCUAAUUGAUGGUUUCACGAGUAGUCAAGGAUGAACUAUUUGAUCUUGCGACGUAGUUAGAUGGGACUGAGAUAAGCCGUUUUCAUCUGGUCACUGAUUCAGAUACUUCCCCCAUAGAUCAUCACUCUCGUGCCAAGUCCAUAACCAUAUAUCUGUGGCCAGAGCUCCAUGACUCACUCAAUUUGCCAUGGGACGGAAAUGGGUCACCUCCCCCAAAUGUAGACAAAAUCCCUCCAUGUCGCUAAUGUGCCAUUCUCCCAUUGGCAGUGAUCCCAGCCCCUGCCACCACCCACCCACCCACCAACCCAUUGCUUACAUCUGCCAAGAAACAAAAUUAAUUUUCCAGCCCACUUGUAUUCAGUCUACGGACUGUACAGUGUGCACCAGACUAGAAUAAAGAGAAGUGAAAAAAAAAUAAAAAUAAAAAAAGGCCAGAAACUAAUAAUAGUAGUAGUAGUACUUUUACCUUCCUCUUCCUCCUUGUCCUCCUCCUCUUUCAACUUUUCAAUCCAUCUCAAAGUUUCGUUUCGUUUCAUUUCUCCAUGGCCACUUGCCAAACAACCGUCAACGACCUUCCGGAUGUGAUCCUCACCAAUAUCAUCGCCGCCAUCUCCGACGUGCGGAGCCGCAACGCCGCCGCCUUAGUUUGCCGCAAAUGGCUUCUUCAAGAGCGCUCCACCCGCACUUCCCUCACUCUCCGGUGCAACAUCCGGGACCUUUUCUUCCUCCCUACUUGUUUCCGAUCCGUAACUGACCUCGACCUCUCUUUGCUCUCUCCGUGGGGCCACCCCUUGUUAUCCCCCAACACUCCCACCACCACCGCCACCUUCAUAGCCCAUGUUCUCCACCAAGCUUUCCCUGCAGUCACUUCCCUGACCCUCUACGCCAGAAACCCAUCAACCAUACAGCUCUUGGCUCGUCAAUGGCCGUGUUUAAAGCAUAUUAAGCUCGUCCGCUGGCACCAGCGGCCCCCGUUGGGAUCUGGGGAAGAAUUGCUAGCUUUGUUUCAGGAGAACACAUCAAUCAUUAGUCUUGAUUUGUCCAGCUUUUAUUGCUGGACGGAUGAUGUUCCCGCAGCUCUAGUUGAAACCUCAAACUUAACCAUCCUUGAUCUCCUGAACCCUUCAUUUUCCGAAGGGUUCAAGGCUAAUGAAAUCAUGGACAUCACAAGAUCAUGUCCUAAUUUGAAGGUACUUCGCGCGGCUUGUAUGUUUGAUCCUAGGUACAUUGGAUACGUUGGAGAUGAGAGCUUGGUUUCGAUUUCGGUUAAUUGUCCUAAAUUAUCCGUGCUUCAUUUGGCGGAUACCUCGGCUUUGGUGAAUUCCAGGGCAGAUCCUGAGUCUGAGGGGCUUACUCCUGAGGAUGCUAUGAUCACUGUGGCUGCCCUGAUUGAGUUGUUCUCGGGGUUGCCAUCGCUUGAAGAACUGGCUUUAGAUGUUUGUAAUAAUGUGAGAGACAGUGGCCCUGCUUUGGAGAUGCUGAAAGUGAAAUGCCCCAAGUUGAGGUCACUCAAGUUAGGGCAGUUUCAUGGGAUCUCUGUGCCGAUCGAGUCAAAGUUGGAUGGGGUUGCGCUUUGUUCAGGGCUUGAAUCUUUGUCAAUUAGGAGUGUUGCGGACUUGACUGAUAUGGGUUUGAUUGCUAUUGGAAGAGGGUGCUGGAGAUUGGCAAAGUUUGAAGUUCAGGGUUGUAAUAAGAUAACCGUGAAUGGAAUGAGGACUUUGGCUAGUUUGCUUCGAAGGACUUUGGUGGAUGUCAAGAUUUCUUGUUGUAAGAAUCUGAAAGCAUCAACGUCAUUGAAAGCGUUAGAGCCGGUGCAGGAUCGAAUUAGGAGGCUCCACAUUGACUGCAUUUGGGAUGGUGUAGAUCAAUUUGAUGGGAUUCAGUAUGAUGUUGAUCUUAACGGAUUGGAUCAGGGUGGGGCAUCGAACCAGUCGGAUGGAUAUGUCAACUACUUUGGGGAUUAUGACAGUGAAAUCAUGUGCAGCAAGAAGAAGAGGUGCAGACACUCCUCUGAUCUGAAUUGCUCUGCUCUGCAAUUUAACAGCAGCAGCGGUAAUGGAUUUUGUAGCAACUCAUGGGACAGACUGCAAUGUCUUUCACUUUGGAUUGGCGUAGGUGAGCUUCUAACCCCAUUGACUGCUGCUGGCCUUGAGGAUUGUCCGAACCUGGAGGAGAUCCAAAUCAAGGUUGAAGGAGAUUGCAGGGAAUGGUCAAAACAUAAACAGUCCCCCUUUGGGUUGAGCACUCUGGUGCAGUAUCCUCGCUUAACCAAGAUGCAUUUGGAUUGUGGAGACACCAUAGGUUAUGCACAGACUGCACCGUCUGGGCAGAUGGAUUUGAGCCAAUGGGAACGAUUUUACCUGAUGGGAAUAGGGGAUUUAAGUCUCAAUGAACUUGAUUACUGGCCACCACAAGACAGGGAUGUUAACCAGAGGAGUUUAUCUCUGCCAGCAGCUGGACUGCUCCAGCAGUGUCUUACCCUUAGGAAACUUUUUAUCCAUGGGACGGCUCAUGAACAUUUCAUGAAUUUUUUCCUUAGAAUCCCAAAUCUCAGGGACAUCCAGCUGAGGGAAGAUUAUUACCCGGCACCAGAGAAUGAUAUGAGCACGGAAAUGAGAGCAGAUUCUUUAGGCCGUUUUGAAGCGUCUCUGAACAGACGCCAGAUUUCUGACUGAUACACAGCGAUCAGAGACUGGUGUGCAACCUAUGCGCGGUAACGAAGGAACAUGUUGUACAGCGUGAAUCUGUAACUGUUAAAAAUAAAUAAAUAAAUAAAAAAUUGUAACCCGCAUCUAGAUCUUUGACAUGUACAUAGAGGUGUCAAAAUGGAUGACUUGGGUGGGUUUGGGUUGGAUAAAAUGGGUAAUGGGUAUAAGUGAGUCAAUCCAUUUAUACCCAUUUAAUUAGAAGGGUAUAAAUGGAUAAGUCAAAAAAUGAAUUGGGUAACCUAAUACCCAAUUAUCCAUUUAUAACCUAUUUAUUUUAAUUUUUUGUAAAUUCAAUUAAAUUCAUUUUUGCAAACUAAGUUAUCAAUUUAUACCGCUCUUUGUACCCAUCAUUAGUUUUAAAUAUUUACUUAUAAUGUUCAAUAAGCCUAAUUACCAAAUUUUUUUCAUUUAUACUCUAUUUCACAAAAUUACAUAUUAUUUAAUAAUUGAAUAAUAAGAAUAUAAAAAUUUGAACUAAGUAUUAUAAAAGUUAAUAUAAAAAUUUAAUCCAAAAAUUUUUAACCCCUAACAUUUUUUCCAUAUAUAAAUUUAAAAUUUCAUUUUAGAAAGAUAAGAAAAGAGGCUCAAAUUUAUCAUAAAUUGGUAAUGCCGAAAAAUGAACAAAUUAACAAACUAAGAGAAAACAAAAUAAUAAAAUAAAACCAACAAAUAAUAAUAAUAAUGAAACAAAAGUAGUUAACAUCAUGACAAAAUGAAAAAUUUGAAAAAAAAAUGGAUGGGGGAAAAGAAGAGAUUUAGGGGAAGAGAAUUUUAAAUGGGUUAAUUGGGUUUGAUGGGUUACCCAAUAAUACCCAUUUAAUAAAUGGUAUUAUUGGGUAACCUAUUUAUACCCAUAUACAAAAAUUUAAAAUACCCAUACCCAUCUAUUCAUGUGCGAGUAUGGAUAAAUUUAGUUAAGUGGGUUGAUUUACCACCUCUACACGUACACAUAGGCUUUGAAGACUGAAAACCGGUUCGAAUUUUUGUCAUAUAUAAUUAAUUCAUGCGAUGAGGCUUCGCGGGAUGAGGAACUUAUUUUCCUACGCGCAAUAUGAUGCAUCCAGUUACCAUGCGUAACAUUUAAGAGUUUGAUUUCAACAGAAAUCGAUGAAAUGUAGUACAUGAAAUUCUACUACAUCAACCAUUAGUGUCGUCAACUCUUGACAAUGAAGGCAAUCUGUGACCUCCUCCAAUCUCAUAAAAGAGAUCCAUUUUCUCCUUUUUUUUUCUUUUCAUUUGUAUGACGGUAAAAUUUUCGAAUUGCACAAAAAGUGCUUAAUGUUUUUUUUUUUUCAAUUUGGUUAUGAAAUGAAAUACUACCUUCCUAAAAUUGGAAAAUCCACACAAAAUACAACUUGAGCUUGAGCCGAAUAUAUUGUAACACCUCUACUAUGUGUUUCUGUACAAUUAAAGAGAUUGCAUUAGCACAAUGAAUACUCGCAGUCGAGCAAGCGGGUAAGAAUGUCCUCGCAACUAGGACGUUCAUGCGGCUCUGCCCAACAAUCUGCAACCAGGAGAAAAGGAAAGGUGAGCUCCAACAAGCACAAAUGAGCUUGAGGUUGUUGCUUGUUACGAGUUUGACAAUAUGUGGAUAACCAGUUACCUGCAAUAAGCCUACCAAGAGGUCCUUCAGGAAUCUCCAACCGUGAUCCCUCAUUGGCAACAGCAUAAACCACCUAGAUUGGAAAAAGAAGGGUGAGUGCACUGUCACUUGCAGAGAAAAAUGGUCAAAAAUAUUUAUUGCACAAAUUACCUACAUGGGGGUGAUAAAUAUUGAAAAAAAAAGAAAAGAAGACUGACUAAAAUUUAAAAUUGAGAAUCAACAAACUAAAAGGACAUUCUAUAUCAUACCCUCUCUGGUGGUAUGCCCUCCCAGGGUCUACCUAGAGUGCACAGCUCCCACAUAAUAACACCAAGGCUGAAGAUAUCACAUUUCUCGGUGAAGGGUUCAUUGCGAAUAAGUUCCGGGGCCAUCCACUCCGGUGUCCCUGCAGAUGACGAGUCCCCCAUGGGAGAAUCUGUCAUUAUUCUUGAUAGCCCAAAAUCACAGAUCUUGACGGUCCAGUGUUUAUUGACAAGGCAAUUUGCACUUUUCAAAUCCCGGUGGACAAUCUUCAUUCGAUGUAUGCACAUCAGCCCUCUUAAGUUGCCAACAACAGAGACAGCGUUAAUUCAUAUUUUCAAGUCCCCAACAACAGGUUCUAACAAGAAAACCAGGGAAAUAAAACCAGAAGGCACACUUCGUGAUAUGCAUUUUAAAUGAAGAUUGGUUUAUUUGCUCACUCAAACUUGGACAUGCUAAGCAGACAUCAAAAAAGAUGGUUGGACAUGCAACAUUACAGGGGACAAAAAGGAGCUUACAAGAAUUAGGGACAAAAAAUCACAAGAGUGCGUGGCCCAUUUUAUGUAUUAAAAGAUCAAUACAAGGUCUCACAACUAUUAGCCUACCCCAUGUUCUGCAAUGCAUUUUCCCAGCAUGAAACAGUUGUCAACAUAGUUAGUUUGGAUGCCAAAACUAUAGGGCAACCCUGGUUUGCCAAUUUGGCAACAACAAUCUCAUUUUUGUCCCAGAAAUCAAAUCCAUAAUUAGACUAUCUGAAGCCAUCAAACUUCAAAAAGUGUAACUUACUAUUUCUGCAUUGCAACUGAUAAGUCCUAUGAAACCCUUUAUGGUGCAGAAAUUUCAGACUAGUUCCAAUCUUACAAAAGAAAAAUAUUAAACUACUGCCCAUAAAACUUGGAGCAGAUAAUAGAAAUGUUGCCCAAGGAUAAAACAAACCUGCAUAUGUCACGAAGCAUUUUUAGUCUCCUGCGCCAACUGAGUUUUUUCUUCUGACCACUUAAAUGAAUCAGAUAAUACAAUGACCCCAUCUCCAUGUAUUCGGUGACCAUUGAUAAAUGUGGGGGCUUUGUGCAGGCACCCAGAAAUAAUAUAACUGCAAAUAAGGCAUGUCUAUUAGUAUCUGAAAGGCAACUGAAUGUCUGUAUUCCCCAAACUGAAUGUGUUACACCCAUCCCCACUGCCCAAAAGGAAAAAUUUUGGGGUUACAUUUCUUCCCGAUAACUUGAAGUUGAUAUCAAGUGUAUAGACAAGUAACAGAGACUGUUUAAAUUGAUACAAGUUGAACACAGAAAAAAGGAGGCAAAGAGAUAUACCAUUUGGGUGCCGAAGGCGGCUGCAGAAAACAAAAUAAAAGCAAUAACAAAGGAUUAGAAGGGAUCUUAAAUAUUAAACCAACAGUCAAAAGCACAACUAAAAGAAAAUGCCAGUGUAAAAAUGAGCUGAACACCUUAGGAUGGAAAUCUCAUUGCAAAAGUCCUCCAUGUUUUCAGCAGUCAGAUCUUGCUCCAGAAAAACUUUGAUGGCAACAUCAGUUCCGUUCCAAAUGCCACGGAAAACUUCUCCAAAAAAACCUACGAAAGCACAAGGACAAAAGAUAUUCAAAAAGAGUAGGAAAUGCAAGACAGGAAAAGAAAAAAUAAACAACAGAACAUUGAGGUUUGCAAUAACUUUUGCAUGAAAAUGAAAAAAAAAUUAUUGUCAUCUUAUUCUAUAGUUCAUUGUUAAAAAUCAUUAUAAGAAAAAUCAAUAUGUAAAGCACCUCUGAUGUCAACAAUAAUGAGCCCCAGAAGCUUCAGGAAAUUGAAAUGUAGAGUUUCGAGCAAGAUGUAGUUUGCCCUUUGAAAAACAUCAUGAUUUAAGACACUGAUUCUAUGAAAAUGGAAAAAAAAAAUUUAUCAUCUUCUUAUUCUAUAAUUCAUUGUUGAAAAUCAUCAGAAGAAAAAUCAAUAUGUAAAGCAUCCCUGAUGUUAACAAUAAUGAACCCCAGAAGCUUCAGGAAAUUGAAAUGUAGAGUUUCAAGCAAGAUGUAGUUUGCCCUUUGAAAAACAUCAUGAUUUAAGAUGGCCUCUUUGAGCUAUCAAUUGCGCCAACCGUUCCUUUGAGAUCUUCCAUAGAAUUAAGUUACCGUAGGCAGCAACAACUUUAUUCUCAAGAAUUUCAUGAAAUCAAGCAUGUGGAAAUUACUGAGUAAUUAAGAGACAAACUUUAAAUAGCUAUGUGGUGUAUUUGCCUGUCUUUAUUUCAUAUUGGGUAUCAAAUUUUUGUGAAUAUCAUGUAUCACGUAAAUCAUGCUUAUAAAGAUGUAUUUGGGGAGGAAAAAAACAUUGAAAAUUAAAGCAUUUGAUGUGGAAAAUAUCCUUUUUGAUAAGCAAUGCAUUAGUGAUUUUUUCACAGUAACAGAAUGCCCAGGGACUUAAUUCAUUUUGUCUAAGAGCUUCAAGGGGCCAAUUUGAUGCAAGCAACAGUUCAAGGAAAAUGCUAGGAGAAUAUAGUUUGAGAGAACAACAUGCAUUUAAGCCCAAAAGUUUCUCAACCAACUACUACUAUCCCGAUGGGAAUCCAAACUUUCAAGAGGAUCUGUGGAUAACAAUUGCUUCCUUUCAAGGAAUUUGCUCUACCAAAAGUGAUUGAGAAAGAAAAUUUAUGGAAGACAUAAACAUCAAAGAGGAAACUAACAAGACAAUUGCUUACCAAUUCCAACACGAGUGCCAACUGUUAGUUCUGAGAAGUCAAUGUUCCACUCUUCAAAAGGUAAAAGAGGUUUAUUCUGGAACAUAGGCGAUCCAAGAAUUCUGUUCCAUGUUGACACCAUGUCAUCAUUUACCCUGUAGUUUGAUGUCCCACUCCUCUCAGGAGUUUGACUCCCAUAUUCAUGAGGAGAAGAAGGUAAUGACAUUGCCUUUUGAGAAUCAUUGUGCUCUCUCUGAAAAGAAUACAUGGAAGAUCUUCCACCAGAUAAAUCAUCCUGGUCACCAAGGUAAAAAUCAGAUACCUGAGGAGGAUAAUUCCACUUAGAAAGAAUAAAUAACUUAUCAGAGAUAAACCACUAAGAGAAACAUGAAAUUGAUGAAAGGCAGGAUAGAUGUAGCUCCAUUAAUUCUCCAUGUCAUUUGGCUUUCAGAUCUCUGGUACAUAAUUCAUUUUAUCAGUCAAGACUUCAGAAAGCAGGAGGAAACAACUUAUCUAUAAAUAUUACCCAAAAAUAAAUAAAUAAUAAAAACUGCCAUUAUUUUUAACAUUUCUUAGACUAAUUGCACACUUUUAACAAUGAAUUCAUAACAGAAAGUUUCAUAUUUGACACUUGAUACAAACCAUGAUGUAAAUACCAUCCAUUCCUGGUUUUGGACCAGCAUUGUUUGAUGCAAGAUGAUCAUCUUUUCUCAUGUUUGUAUUAGUUGCCCGGAAACAGGUCAAAAUGCAAGUCCAGAAAAAAAUGCAUAAAGACAAAAGGGAUCUUUUUGAGCCCAUUGACAAGGUCAAGUUGCUCACAGUAACAACAAGGUAGAUUCAAACAGGCACAUACCUAAAAAAAUGUUACUCAACUUGCAACCAAAGAGACUACAAAUGCAGAAGAAUAUGCAUAAAGUUAGAUGAUUGGUCAAAUAACGAACAUACAUCUUUCUGGACAUCCGACCUAUUUUCUCCUUGUCCUUUUAAGAGGCGAUUCUGCUUCAAUGUUUCAUUCAUUGCUCGAACAGCUCUAGCGUGAAUCAUACAACAGAGAGUAAUAAAGUUAGCAGAUAACAUUAAGCAACAACAAUUAAGCACUUCAAAAAUGUAACAUGGUAGCAUGAAAUCCACCACAAAGUGGUGAAACAUUUCUUGAUCUCCAACAUACAGCAAUUUUGAUGGCUAGUUCAGGUAUGAUAAUCAGCAUUACUACAAAAAUAGUCUAACACGCACAUUUCAACCACAAUUAAUGUGCCUAGUCAACAUGCUAAAAAAUAGCCAUCAACUAAAAAGCAGACAAUGUAGAAUUUAAAUUGCCAUGCCUCUGGUGUACUCUUGUAGGCCCAUUUCUUUUUUUCUAGUUGAGAUUACAUUCCUGACUCUUUUUACAAUAAGCUACUUUUCAUUGGUCUUAUUUUGUUUUGGCUUGUGUCUUUUGUUUCUCUAAACCAAAAUGCUUCUUCCUAUAUGCAUCCCUGAAUCUCUUCUAGAACAACUUUUACUUUCCAGAAGUUCCAUGGCAAAAUGCCUUUUUAACACCUUAAUCAAGAAUCAUUUUUUUUUUCCAGAAGCUAUUGAAAAGCUAAAUCAAAGGAGAUAUAGGGAGCCAGCUAUAGGGAGCCAGCUUAAAGUAAUGAGUAGUCAAAUAUCAUGAAGAUAUAUCUCUCCUCCCCCUCGAAUAAUUGAGACUUUUAACUACAGCAGAAUCAUAGAUCUCAGAGACAGAUACAUGAGGGCGCACAGCCCUGUUAAUUGUAUUAACCAACAAAUCCAGCAAUUAUUCAUGAAAGAAUUCUCAAGAACUCUCUGAGCCCUACAACCUCUUCUACUCUCAAGACUUGCACUAAAAACUCCUAAUUAAUCCUUACAUCAUUAGCAAGCUACUCCAACAAAUAGUAUCUCAUAUUAACAUUAGAUGAGCUUACUUUGAGUAUGAAUUAUCAAGUUAAGUGAGGGAUUCCAGUAGAUUCUACUGGUGAAAUGAAAGUAGAAGUAAUUCCAGAGAUAAAGUUCUUGACUAACAAUGUUCUAAAAAGAAAAAUGCUUCACAUUUGAAGUUCCCUAACACUACAUCUCUCUAUUCUUUCACCAAAUUUGGGAUACGACAAAAGGUGGAUUUACACAGGGAAACAAAUUUAUGUCUAGAAGACCGUCAAACAGCUUAGGAAAAAAUUGAUUCCUAUAAGAUGAUACUAAAAAUAAAUUAUCACAGAGGCCAUUGACAACAAAGAUAUCACCAAACAAACAAUAGAUAAAAAUAGGAGAGCUGAUAUCAACCUUACAAUAUCAUCACCAAUUUCUGGAGUUAUACUGAUGCUUCUUCGUCUUAAUCUACGAGUCUCUGAUGUUGAGGCACCUUCAGAUCUGUUGCUACAUUUGCAUCAAAGAUCAGUAGCAGUAAAGAUUGAGAAUUUGAUUAACAAGAGAAGAAAAAUAUGUAUUGUUCAUUGUACUAUCACCCUAAGGUAUGAGUUUUGUAAAAAGCAUCCCAUGAAAAUAGCUGAAUGAUUCUAGUUAUGGUACUUCUUAUCCAUAAAAUUUGAUUAUAGAGCACAACAAAAAAAGAAAACAAAAUCAAAUAAAUGGUUACUAAUUCCAAGCUGAUAAUCAAAUGAUAACUCAAUGGACUGCACCAAUCUCAGCAUAGUUGAUAAUAGGAUUGAUGAUAGCCCUGCAUAAGACUUCAGUCAAAUAAAGUACUCAAAUGAUUUUGUCUCAUUGCUCGUCUUCAUUAAUUCUGCAGACCAGAAUACCAGAGUCAAUACUCAGUGAGGUGACAAUUUAGUAGGGCGUCUUCAAGAAGUUACUUAUGCAUUCGAGAUCCUUUACUUUUUUUCUUAAUCUGUUGUCCCCCCCCCCCAACCCACACAAAAAAGAGGAAAAAUAACUCAGGAACAAAGAUACUAAACAAGCUAACAAGAAAAGGGGCUAUUCUGGACUUGAUAGUAACCCCAGUUUCAUAAAUUCACAUGUUUUUAGCUUUCUUUGUAGCAAAUCCUGUUGUGAUGUACAUUUUACAAAUUAAAGAUGUCAUGGUACUUGAAACAUAUGUUCAAUGCAGUUAUACAGAAAAGCCAAUAGCUCAUGAUGCAUCUAGCUACACAAUUUAAGUGCUAAGAGUCUCCUAGUUAAUCACAUUCUUAAGCACUAGAGAUCCUUAAUUUCUAUGUCUCUGUCCCUAGAAUGGAGUCCUCAUAAAGAGAGGGAAGCCAUGCUGCAAAAGUAUGGAAGGCAAAUUCCAACUUAACUGCAUAAUAAGCACACUCUGAACCGUCAGUAGCACCACUCAAUAGAUUUUCCUCAACACUAGCCCUGGUGAGCCAGAAGAGAUAGAGCAGCAUAUGUAUACCUAUGUCCAUCUAGCUUGUACGUAAUUGAACAAUGGUGUGCCCCACCAUCAAUCACAGGAUAAGAAAAGUUUAAAGUGAGGUUUAAUGACAUCAUCAAGAAAGUUAUCUUACCAACAUAGGGAAGGGUAUGCUAAUUAAACAAUUUCUGUAAGUACAUUAGAUAUUCCAGUUAUAAGUAAAAUCAUGUGAAUCAUGCUAUACCACAAACUACUCGGUGCAUUUUUUGAAAUGAGAACAAGAAGAUGCAUUAGAUUCAUCAAAAAUAUUUACAAGUCACCAUAUGUGGUGUUUUUUUAUUACUACUCAGUGCAUUAACAAGGAUUAGAAAAGCAAAAGCCAAAACCAGACAAAAGAGUGUAUUUCUCUCAGGCACCUUGAUGUAGCCAUAUCAUCAGAAUAAUCUCUAAAUGUUCUGUUAUCACCGCUAAGCAUAGAGCGCCCACGAGCACGAGAUGAAGGAUGCUCUGGACUGUGAAAUACAAAAUGCAAAAGAGUUAAAAGCAUGUAGAUUAAAAGGUCUCAUGGAUAGCUAAACCACACACUGCAAACAGAAGAGGGGAGAGAGAGAGAGAGAGAGAGAGAGGGAGAGCAGCCCAAGCAGCCAUCAGAACUUAACAACUGCUACAUACCAAAUAUUGCCUGAUUUAUAGAUAAUAAAUACUGUCAGUCAAAUGAUUACCCAUAGAAAAACUGUCAGCCCACUUGCAGUUACAGCUGAUAUUUUAGAAUUAUCAAAGUUUUCAAAUUGUUUGCACAUUAACACAAGAUGUAUAAUUAAAAUAAUAAUGACUUAGUCAAGGAUGUUAUUUUCAACACAAUGAUCAGUUUAUACUUCUAAGUCAUCCUACUAAGCAGGCUUACGUCACUCUAACUACCUAGUCUAGGACCUUUACCUCUCCACCAACUUAUAUUUUGUACACCAGGGUUAUCUGCUCCUGAGGCAACAGGCACCACCUCUGUGGCAAAUAUUUAAGUGUCCUCAACAAAGACAAAGUUGUCCUUUGGACAGAUGAUUAAAAAUUCAUUGCCACAUCUAGAAUGAUUUGAAACAACAUAUUAAGAUCAUACAAACAGAAAAGCAUCAAGAGGAACCUUGAACUAGCAGUCCUUUGUUCAGCAAUGACCCUUCUCCUGCUCCUUCGCCAAAAGGUAGCCGCAAUAUUAGGUUCGCUAUGAUAUGAACUGAUACAGUAAAAUAGUUCCAAUAAACACCAGCUAUGUAAGCAAUAGAAUAAGAUUUAACUACGCAUACAAGCAUCCGUCUCUAAGAUCCACAGUGCAUCAAAAUUGUACUUCAUACAACAUUCCACUUUUAACGCAAUGCCAGUCUUGACUAAAAUAGUACCUUAAUUUUCUAUCAACAAAAGUAGAAGAGCGCAACAUCGCAUUCCUCAAAGAAGGCUCAGCAGCGUUUGAAGAAGCUUCAAGUCUCCUCUGGUAUUGAGGGCUAUCAUCCUUAUCAGUACUGUAACAAAUGAAACUAUGCAAUCACUGUUGAAUCUAGAAAGCAAGGGAUUGAUCUAGAUAGCUUCUAACUAGAAAACUUCUUCUGAUGGAAAGAAAAAUUUUGAAACAUUUCCAUGUCUCAUUAAAAAGAACAAGGUAAAGGAUGACUAAUUAGGUGAAAACAUGUAUGUUUAUGCAGAAAAUAUAAAAAAGGUUCUAACCCCUCAGGAUCAGCUCUAUCCGAAACCCCAUAAAGAGGACUAUUUGGCUCUAAUGGUGAAUCGCAGGAAUCAUUUUCUGCAGAGUCACUUUCCCCAGCAGCAGAUAUAUGAGUCAUAUAAAUUGCUUUAGUCGAUAGGGGUAUAAGCUGGCCAGGGAACCGCAUAAGAUCAACCAAAAGUUCCACAGAAUUCAAAACCACUAGAACAGACAUAUGCUUGUAUGAGUCUACACACUCUGAAUUUCCUUCAGUAGGCAAACCCUGAGAGGAGAAUUACAUGUAAAAGUAUAAAGACAAAUCAGAAAAAGGAACCACAUAAAAAAGCAUGCCAGAGAGAAUUUGGAAAAUCCUUUACAGACUCAAACCAAAAUUAACCUUGCCACUUGCGAGCAGUCAAUACACAUGCAACCAAGAAAAUUAAAAGACAUCUCCUUGAUUGUCAUUUGGGGUACAAAAGCAAAUUUAGACUCAUAAGCAGAAACACAAAUAGAAAAGGGAAAAUUUGACAUUCCCUGGGCCUUUUCACUGGACUAUGAAGUCAAAUGUCUGACAUCCUUUUUUUAAAGGAAUAGGAGGCAUAUCAAAUUUAGUGGAGUUUACGAUGUAAUAUCAGGGUGUCACAGGCAGCUAUUUAUUGAGGCAUUAGUCAUAGAAGAAGUUAACAUUUCUGGAAUUAACGUGGAAUACAUUCAUUAUUCUGACCAGAAGUCAUUAGAAGGGGAAGUAUUAUAGAAGCUGAGAAUAAAGCCAACAGACAAAACGCUGCUCAGACUUUUAUGUGGCAUCACCCAUAGAUAAUUGGUGCACAAAUAGAAGUGCAAACCCUUCUACAGCUAAAACUUACCACCAUUAGCCUACUCUCAAUGCCAACUGUAUCUGCAAGGACUUUGAAUAAUAUUGCUCGAGGCCGGCAUGAACCAUGCUUUAUUUGUCCAAGCAUCUGAACACCUCUAUUUUCAGAAACAUGAGAGGUUUCUUCCAGUAAAACUUUUCCAGGACUAAGUUCCACAAUUGGUCGUUUGUAGAAGUCAGACACCUGUUCAUAUGUAAUAAGAUCAUGAGAAAGCAGAGAAAAUACUUAAUGGACCAACGUUAUUAAUAACAGCAUCCCAAACACCAGUAUAAGAAUAGUAGAACAAGGUCCACAAAAACAAAAACCAAAAAUAAAUAAAUAAAUAACUAUUAAAAAUAAAAAAUUUUAAAUAAAUCAAAGGUUUAGUCAUUGAAAAAAAUUUUAGACGCAUGCUAAACUUCUUUAUAUACAGGAAGUGAAAUGCAGGACAACAUAAAAAAGCCCUCAAAAUUCCAAAUGGGCCCAUAUCAAGACCCUAGACGUCCUCACACAGAAAAUUCAGGUGUAGAACAUCAACAAAAUUACACAUGAUCAGAAGCUAUGCAACAUAACAAUGACAUUGAAGUCCCAAUUCACAAUAAAUCAACAAGCAAAAUGUUCAUUUACUUCAUGAGACACCUAACAACAGGAAAAGUAAUGUCUAGGUAAUACGCAAAGCCUUCCUCUCAACAAAAUAGAGAAGAAAAUUCCUAAGGCUACAAACAAAAUAAAAAGAAAAAGGUUGUGUAGCAUCUUAAAAACAGCUAGAGUCAAAGCAAAACGUUUAUCAGCUACCACAAGAUAUUUAGCAUGCAAACAUUAAAAUGCUGCACUAAGAUCAAUGAAGAGAUAUGGACGAAAACAGAGUUUGGAAAAGACAGUAAUACUUUAUUUAAAACCAGAAUUUAAAUAAUCCAAGAAAUCAGUAACUGUCUAUAAGAGCAGGAUCUAAUAAAUACUGACCAAUCCAGCAAUCUUUUUUAUUGUCGCCGCAGGAUUUGAAUUCAGACCUUUAACCAGGGUAGCAAUUAGUUGCUUUAGCAUGGAAAUCUUUUUAUCUUUCUCCACAUCUACAAGUAUAAUAUCAGCUCUUAAACCCUGAAGCUCCAAAGCCUGAAGCUCAUCAAGAGUAGGAAUAUCUUCAAAAAGCUCCUUAAGCCUUUUCUCCUGCAAAAAACAGGUAGCAGCAUGAACAACUGCUCAAAUGGAACAAGAUCAAAAGAAAUCACCAUUUAUGGUUGACAAUCCAUAAAGUCCUAACGCCAUCAAGCAAGAAAAAUGCUCGGAAACAAAAGAUGGAAAUUCUCAGAGAGUACCAUUUGAAAAUAAGAAAUUUAUUUUUCCAAUUUUUUGCACUCCUUUUCAGCGGGGAUGCCUUGAAUAAAAAUGCAGUUCCAAUAAGAGGUCUUAUGUUAUUUGACAAGUAAAAUAUUUUCACCACAUGAGCACAUAGUACCUAGAAAUGUAUGAAACUCAUUAUACCCUUGAUAUACAAGCUAGCUUAUUCUUUUCAACAUAAAUUUUUUACAUAACCAAUUUUUAACAUUGCAGUGACGUGUAAUUUGCAAUAUCGAUAAGCAUCAAACUUCAUGAAUUAAAAUACAUGAACUGAAUGGCAUCUCUGAAGGCACAUGUUUGCCGACAGAAACUUUCUGUGUCUAAUAAUGAAGAUAAAACAGCUAAGAUCUACUCCAAGAAAAUACUCAAGCUAAUGCAAACAACAAUUAUUUUUUAGAAGCACGUUCAUGGACUUUCGUUUUUCUUGUUACCAGUGGAUUCAAAGUGACAGCACCAUUUUCGUGUUCGCAAAAAUUCAUAAAGUGAUGAUAAUCUCUAUAGCAUUAAGUUCGUUAAUCAGCCAAAGAAAAAAGGGCCCAAGCACCAUGCAUUUUAGAUGUGAUUUACCAGACACAACUUGCCAUAAUUACAAUACCGACAAAACAAGUUUGGUGCUCACAGGAACAACUGAAUAGAAACCAUUUGGAAUCGCUUCUGAAAGCAUUCCAGUGCUCCAAAGGAUCUGUGACGCCAUCUGAUGUGGUGAGCAAUCAUAUUCAUCUUUAUUAAUUGAUUUUUUAUUCCUUAGAAUCUCUUUUUCUUUAGAGUCUAAAGACACAGAUCCAAUUUUUUCAACAAGAUCUGGCGACCACCAUGUAGCACCAGGAGGCCUCUGCUGUGAAGGCCCUGCUUCGUCUUGUCUCUCUUCCAUGUUGAUGAAUGAGCAAAAUAUAGCACCAUCUCAUAGCCAACUCUUAGCCCAUUGACAAGCUUAUUGAUGCCAUAAUUAUUUAGAGACGAGACAACAUUGUCUACAAUUUUCACUUCCUCUAAACUCAAAAAAGCUGGAGGCCAUGCGACCUGUAAAAUGAAACUAAUGGUUCAAUAUUAGAUGCACUGAACGUCACAUUCAAGAACCAAAAAACCCCAACUCCAAAAAGAAAGGAAAAAGACAAGAUCAUGCAAGAUAGGGUUACCAACUUCUUGAAGACAAGUAAACAACAAGAGAAAACAAAUUAGGAAACAUGCUACAAUUAAAAAGCUUGAGCCUUUUGACAUCAGAUAUAGGUAAUCAGUAUCUUAUAGCAAGAUAUAAAGGAGUCAAAUGCAAACGUCUCACCAUCCUAGAUACAGUUCUCUACAUCCCUCUGUGGGAAGUUUUAAAUACAAAUUAUUAAUAUUUCCCGAGUUCGUUUUACCAUGGAAAAGGUAGGGUCGCAAUAUAAUGCUUGUCAUUUCCUAAUAGUUCAAUAAAACCAAAGAGUGAUGCCACGUGCUUUCGACCUUCUUCUUUAAACUUAAUCAUUAAUGUUAGUGAUUUUAGUGCUUAGUCAAACUAUGAAACUCCAACAUUGAAGCUUCAUUUCCUCAGCAUUACCAUGAUUGACAGCAGUAUACAAUCUAAAAUUGCAUAAACAAAUUAAUUGUCCUGGCUACUUGAUCAAGGAUCACAGAUAAUGCCAGACCAAUUAAUCCUUCCAUCAGAUAAACUGGCUUCAAACUCUGCUUUGUUAAUGCAACAAUAGCAAACACUAACAAUGUACCCCUCAGAAAAAUUUAACUACUCAAACUUCUCUCCCAAAUAUGAAUUUAUUAUGCUUCAAGGUCCCACGACCAACUUCCAGACCUACAGUAGCUUCUUAGCGUCUGCAAACAAGUUAAUAAGAGAUUCAACUAGUCUACUCUGCAACAUGAUUUUUCCCGAAAUGCUCAAGCUCUUUAGCAGUCUAAAGAUUCUAAAGAAAACAACGAUACCAGCAAAACAAAAACAAUUAUCACUCCCAACAGAAACUCAAUGAUACAUCCCUUAGCAAAUUCUAUAUUUAACCCACAAUAAUUACAAAAAAGAAAAUGCAACCACAAUGUCCAUAACAACAUCAACUGAAUUCCGAGAAUCCAUCACAAAGUUAGCAAUAUAUCCUGCAAUGUUAUUGCAAUAAUCAAGAAAAACCAGAAAACUCAAAAGCAAAAUCUGCAAUACAAAUUUCCACAGCAUCCAUUGGAUCCUAGAUCUCCACCAAACACACUCCUCAACAAACAGAAACUCGAUCACUUUUAUACUCUUUUUUUUCCGUUUCUUCUUCAAUCCUAUAUUUGCUUAUAUCAAUUCAAUCAGUUCAGUUCAGUCCAUCAAAAAAUUACGCAAUCCAGUUCAUAUUAGCCUAAAAAACGAAAUCCGUUCACUCUAACCAACAUUUCCACCACUUAAUCAGACUUCCGCAAUCCAAAAUUCAUUUCCGCCGCAUUAAAUUAACAACAAAUUCAACAAUUAUCACAAAACUACUGCGUGAAAGCGUGUUUCUGAGUUUGAUCGAGGAAAUUACCACCAGCAGAUCUCAAAACUUGAAUCUGAAGUCUACUCCACUGGCGCCGCUUGAAAGAAAUAGUAAUCGCAUUUGAAUUCUAACGCCUCAUGUCCAAAACAAACGAAAAAAAAAUAAACUAAAAACCAAAAAAUUUUAAAAAGAAAAAUACGGCUAGCAAAAGAACAGUAGAAGUUUUUGAAAUGGAGUGAAGAAACGGAUGAUGAAUAUGUAGAAUUGUAGAGAGAGAAACGCUUAGAGAGAGAAAGUAUGAGAUGCAAACAAGGCAAGACAAUAUAUUGAGAGAGAACGAGGGCGAGGCGGGGGUUGGAUUUGAUUAUAUAAAUUUGGGACUGUAAUUAAUGAUCCGGACGAUGGCGAAAGGGAUUGGCUUUUUUGUUUUUACUUACUUCCUUUUCUUUGGUUUUCAUGAUGUACAACAUCAGGGGCAUGAUGUACACUUUUUUAAAGCGGAAUCGCUAUUGAGGGAGGACAAAGUACUAGCGUUGAUGCAGUCGGUACGACAACGAGAGAACUCCUACGAGAGAAGCUUUUUUUGGUUUACUUUUCUUUCAUUAUUAUUAUUUGUUCAGAGGCACAAAUAAAGGUUCAUUAUUUCCCUUGGUUUUGAAUUUUUUUAUUUUAAAAAGCAAAUUUUUAUAAAAAAACAAAUGUUUUUUAUAUGCGCUCGAUCACUAUUUUCUUUAAGUUUUAGAUUUCUCAAUGCAUAAAAAAAAUAAAAUGUAAUAUAAGUGCAAGAAUUGUGGCCUUCAAAUUGUUCAUUUGAAAGUAUUGAAACCAUCUCAAUUAGAACUUCUCAAAUACCUAUUAUUAUUUUAAAUUAAUUAAAACAUUUUGCAAAAAUCUACAAUGAUGGAAAACAAGUGCAUAGUGUCAUUAAAUAAAAUGUCAUUCUACUACAUCGUUAGUACUAUGUAAUUGUACUAUUGAUUUAAUACAUAAAUUCUAUUGGUUUAAUACUUAAUCUAAUUUUCUUUCAAAUAAAUACUCUAUAACCUAAUAUUCUUUUAAAAAAAUACUCUAUCUAAUAUUUUUAUUAAUCUUAUACUGUGUAAUAUACACUUUUAAAAACUUGUUUCUAAUAACAGAGGAGUGGAAUUAAAGGAGCGAGGAAAGAACAGAAGAAAUUAGAGUCCAGAACUUCUACAUUACGAGUAAUAUACUUAACCGUUUAUAUAUUAAAUUAAAUUCACAAUAUGGUAGGAAAAUGUGGUAAUUUUUCUUCAUUUGGUGAUUUGAUUGAUGAGACAAAGGAAUGAGAGAAAUAGAAGGAAAAAGAGUGUGAGUGAAUAGAAAAAAAGGGGUAAAUACUAAAUAAAAGAGGUGGGAAGGGGUGGAGGUUUUGUGAGUCACGUGCAAAGAGGGCGCGAAGAAAGGCAAAGACGUCCGACAAGCCAGCUGGCAAAGUGGGGUGGAUCACCAACGUCCACACCUUCGUCCGCGUGAACCUCUUUACAAGUCUCUCGUGCAUAAAGUUCUAAUUUAGCCCUUUUGCUUUUGUUUCCAGGGUAAUUCCCUUUUUUUUCCCUUUCGUUUUUCUUCCCAAGUGUCAAUCAAUUCAAUUCGACUACAAGUGGUACAAAAGUUAAAUGACAAAUUUCACACUUAAUGCACUUUAAUUAUCCACGCGUGUGCAGUUACAUUUCUAAAAUUACGAAGAUCUCCUUUACUUUAAAAAGAAGAUUAUACACAUCUUCUCUUUUUUUUUACUUCUACUUUAGUUGAGAUUCUAAUAUCCUCUUCAUAAUGAACCAAAAAAAUUGAAUAAGAUUGACCUUUGAUUACAAAUUUAGAAAAUCAAACUUUCAUCAAAGAGAGAGCAAACAAAAGAGAAUUGUGAAACUUCUGGCACAUCAAGAUCGUGCUAAUUCAUACCCCAAUAAAUCCUUGAAAAAUAGUUGUUUUAUGUGAUAAGAUGAAAAGAAUUGUAUGUAGGAAAUUUUAAAUUCAAAAUCCUCGUUCCAAAAAAAGAAAAAAAAUCCUUGUGCUAACUUAAAUAUGGUUAAUCUAUUCUUCAAAAUAAAGACGCAUUGAACCAACAACCUUUAAAAGACAGCCUAAUUUUAGGAGGCAAAAAUUCCACAGGAUGCGCAAUCUAAAAAUUCAUUACACGCUUAAAAAUCAAGUUAAAUGAACUCAUGAAGAAAUGUAUGGGAAAUUUCAAAGCGAAGACAUCGAAUCAAAACAAAUAAAAAAGAGUACCAAGUCAAUCAACUAAUGAAGAUUUCCUAAGAUGUGAAGGCGCUAAACCACAUCAAUGCUAACAACCAUGCAUGAACAAGUGGGUACACAGGAGUACGAAAACCUAAGCUAUUGAAAAUUGCCACUUCUGCCGAAAAAGUGGACCAAAAGCACUUAAUGAGACCCGUUCAACUUCCACGUUUAAGUCGUUUCAUUAGAGAAUUAAAGAUAUCUGAGUCAAAAUGACAUUGGGAGGUUAGUCGGUCUCCUGUGGAAUAUUGCCGGUAAAAAUCCCUUUCAGUUACUUAGUCAUUAGUCAGAUUAGGUCACUAAACAAGUUUGAAAGAGAUGUUACUACGGAAUUUGCAAUGUUAGUGGUACUAUAAUCCUUAAGAUCUUUCUUAACUAAUGAUUAAUGAGGUCAAUCCAUCCAUUCUUAUGUUCACUUUCAUGCUCAUUACAUAAAUUGUUCACAUUUGUUUGUCAAAUAAUUUCCUCAACGAGAAAAUUUAUGCACUCUAAACUUGAAUUAGCAAAAGGUUUUCGUUUUCAUUGUAUAGCUGGAAAGUUGGACUGUCUGUUUUGCAUGAAAGUUUCAUUUGGUCCAAUUAUGCAAGCUCGAAAAUAGGAGUGUAAACGAGUUUAAUCAAACCGAACAUUCUAAUGUUCGAACAUGUUUGAUUAUUUUAAUGAGUUUAUAAUUUUGUUCAAGUUUGACUUGUUUAUUUAUCAAAUCGAGAUUGUACGAAUUUUUUAUCGAAUUUGAAUGUUAUCGACAGUAAAAUAUCAUUUAAAUUUGAUUUAAUUAAUUAGUGAAUCAAACUCAAAAAGACGUUCAAUUCGAGUAUCGAGUAGUUUAGUUCGACUUUCAAUCUUACUCGAAGUCUUACUCGAAGUAACGCUCAUUGCAAACGGACUGGAUGUAAGUCGAGCUCUAGCAAGUCACUAAGACCCAAGAUUUCACUCUCUGCUGUAGUGGGCCGUUCUGUCUAAACUGGGACUAACAAACCCAACUUCGAAGACCUUAAUCAGCGGACCUCAACUUGUAAUUCAGGGAAUAGCCCAGCUGUAACACUUGGACCUCAACUUGUAAUUCAGAGAAUAGCCCAGCUGUAACACUUGGACCUCAACUUGUAAUUCAGGGAAUAGCCCAGCUAUCCCAUAACGUGUUUCACUUUCUGUUUGAAGCUUCAAAACUGAGAAGUAAAUACCUAAUUACAUUUACAUUUCGUACCUUUGAUAGAACUCUAUUUGGAUUGCAAAUUAUUUGAGAUAUUUUUAUUGUAACACUUUUUGUGAUGUGAUGUAUGUGAGAUAAAAAGGUGUGUUGGAAAUUGUAAUGAUGUUGUAAGCAAAUAAAUUUUGACAAAUAAUCCUCUAUCCAAACAAACCCUACUUUUUAUCCUUUUCUUUUUGGUUUGGAGUGCCUUAGAGUUUGGAGGGUUAAAAGCCCAAAAUUGUGUACAACCUUGACAUAGAACCUCUCAAUAAUAUCCGAACAUGUGGCCCAAAUGUUCUCCGUUUCCUGAUCCAGUGGGCCGUCUAAUUCCCAGUGGGCCUCGCACCAGGCCCAAUAAAUACUAUCUCAUGAAUAAUGUUCCAAUAUAUGGAACAUCCGUUGGAUUCAACAGCUCAGUCAGAGGACAACUGGGCCAAUUUGUUCCUCGUGGGCCUCGCACCAGGCCCAGUCAAUAAUAUCUGAGUAUAUUUUUUUGAGAGGUUCUAUGUUAAGGUUGUAGGUAGGGAUGGCAGUGGGUCAAGUAUUCUCGAAAAUUUCUUUUACCAAAUCUUAACUCGCAUAUUUAAAUAUAUUUACCAAAUCUUGUCGGGUAAACCUAUGGGUUUUAAUUCCCAUUACUGAACCCUUCCACUUGUGUGGUUGAAUUAUCCAUUGGGUACUCUCUAUUCAUUAAUAUUAAUAGUUUGAAAAAGGAAAAUUAACAUUUUAUCAAGUUAAAAUCAAUACAUAAGUCGAGUUAAAUUAGCGCCCUAUAUUGAGUUUUAAACUAUUGUAAAUCCAUAGAACUUGCAUGGGAAAAAUCCAACAUUUAGUGAAGGGUUAAAUCAACAUUCUUGUAUUUUUAAUUAUAAUUAACUUCAUUUGUGUUAGGUUUGAGUUACUCGUCGGUAGCUACUCAUGAGACAAAAUUCUAAUGGAUAACUCAUCGAGCAUAUAACCGACUUAACCAUCGGAUUGAAUACCCACAAAUAUCAAAUGUUAUCUUACCCAUUGCCCUCUCUAGCAAAACAAAUUUUUUAAGUUUGACUAAAUUGAGACUUUAGGAAUUAAAUGAUUCUGGACUCAAAUCCUCCCCUACCCUCCUCGUUUUUCGAGUCCCACCCAUUUCUUCCCGGAAAUAAAAAAAAAAGGGUUUUUUAAGCUAGAUUUUAUCGGACUUUUGACAUCCAGCUAGCUCCAAGUCGACGCAAGACAAGAAAAAGAAAUUCAUGUGUUUUGACAUAGACUUGUAAUCAAUUGUAGGUCUAUUUUGGUAGACAAUAAUGCAUGCACCAUACUGCUCGUAAGUAUGUACAUGUCUUCAAGUAUGUGUUUGAUUACUACUGCCCCUAAAACUGAUACCACGAAACCUGUGACUUGUCCAAAUGCAUACUAGACUGCCAGAACACUAGAACGACGACAGUAGAGUAGUUGACUCAACCCCAGAUCAAUAAAACUGGCGGACCAUGCGACGUGAGGAUCACAAAUUUUUAAUUUCUUACAUAAAUAUAAAUGGGACAAUCCUCUUUAUCAAGAUUGGCAUAUACCCUUGGGAGCAAUUCACUCUAAAAACAUAUAUCCCAACAUUAGUGUGUUUGGACAGCCAAUUAUUUGGCCAAAUAUAUUUGCUGACAUCACCAUUACAAUUUCCAAUACACCUUUUUAUCUUCCCAAUUACUUUUUUAUCUCACAUACAUCACAUCACACAAAGUGCUACAGUAAAAAUAUUUCAAAUAACUUACAAUCCAAACACACUAUAUCUAUCCGUUUGGAUUAGCUGUUUCUGGGGGUAUUUUUGAAAAAUUUCACUGUAGCAGAGUUUUUGUAGUAUAUUUUAGAAAAUAUUUUGAAAUAUUUAAAAGUAGAAGAGUUUUUAGAAUAUAUUUUAAAAUAUUUUUUAAACAUUAAAAAAAUUUAGACUACUUUGUAGACUACCUUUUAGAGUAUUUUUUAAAAAUUUUAAUAAUAUUUAAAAAAUUAAUUUUUGAAAAAUUCAGCAAUCCAAAAUAUUCAUCUUUAUGUGAUGAUUUAGAAGUCAUUAAUAUUAUCUCAUGCACUAAACUUUAGUACCAUCUUCUUGAGAAUUAAAUGCAGACUCUGAUAUUCACAGUCUCAAGCUCCCAACCAUCCUUGUCAGGGGACAUACCCCACCUUAUCAUAUGUUUGCAAUUGUCAUCACCUUGUUUGAAGACAAGAAGAAGAAAGAGGAAAUUAUUGCUGAAACUUGCACGGAAUUUUGUUAGGAUUCGAGAAUCAAAGCAAUUGGAAUCAUACCAAAUCUUGAAAAUCUUAGUAGAAAAAUCAUGGUCCUUCGACUUGAUCAUCUCAACUUACUUUUCUCACGACAAAAUUGAUUUUGGUAAAGAACUAUUAUGACAGAAGAAAUGUCUCGUAAUAAAUGUGAAAAUCACUAAAAAAAAGAAAGAAAGAAAGGGGCGAUUAGUGUAAUAUCAAAAAGAUGAAUUGUCCUUCAAUAAAGUUAAUCAUUCAAGCUUUCAGUGGCACAAAAAAGAGUAGUAUAGAUCACUAAAAGGAUACUUUCAAUAAUUAGCUCUUAAGUAAUCAUUACCAUACAAAAGAUGCUGAGGUGUUCAAAAUUAGUAUCGUGCCAAAUCACCAAACCAAUUAUUUAAAGUGCCAAGUUGAAGGGCAACAUGGUCAGAAAAUUCCAUUUCCCCAGACUUCCACAGUUCAAAGAGCCCAUAUCCCUUUGCUAGCCUUAUACAUGUCUGUGACUAGGCCUUUGAUGGGACCCCAUUUUUAAAUAAAUGUCGUCACAUGAUCCAAAACAGGUCACCAAUGGGGCAAAUUUAAUAAAUUCUCUAAACCAAGAAAAGUAUUGAUUCUCGUAAACUUGUAACAAGAUUUUAAACUUGGAGGUUGGAGCUUGGAACUUGAAAGUUGAAACCAUACUCAUAUUUUAUUCCCUUUCUUCACUGGCAAGGGGUAAGCUAGCUAGGCAAGAAAACCAGAAAAAUCCAAGAAGAAACAGAGCGUUAGUCUGCAACAAUUGGGUUGUUCUUACCUCAGCCUCAUCUAUCCCUUUCUCCCUGUCCCUUUCACGUUCUUGGUUGGUUGCUUUCUUUUUCCAGCUUUUGUAUAGUCUUGUUGAUGAAUGCUUGUAUGGUUGACGCCUGCUCAAUCAUCCAAUCAAGAGUUCAUCAGUUCGGUGGAGUUGAGUUCAUGUACAAGUUCAAGAUCCUUUUUUCAUGAGAGGUACCUUCUUUGAUUAGUGUAAAGGGCUGAACCCAAGUUUCUUUAUUGCAAUAAAUGCUGUUUUUGGUUGAGGUAUUGCUGGAGUUUUGGCUGAGAGAUGGUGGUUUUUACUGUUUUGUUUUGUUGUGCGUUUACUUUUGUUAAGAGGGUUGAAGUUAGAGAUUAGAACUACUGAAUUUAAUACGAGGUGGAGAAUAUUUAUGGGUCUACUUUGUUAAAGUGAAAUUGAGAUUAAAGACUCAAUCUUGAUAUGCGAAAUGCUCUUGGAUUGAAUCUUGUCCUUUUAAUUGCAUGUCAGGAUUACUACACAGGGGGUAGAUUCUUUUGCAUGUUUUUAGAGAUUGGUUGAACCGGGUGUUGAAUACUGAGAUAUCUGGGUUUGAUAAGAUUGGGAGGAUUGAUUCUCUUGAUUAUUAGGCUGUUCUGUAGUUUUAAAGUUGAUAAUUAUUAGCCCUUUGUGCCCUGGAAUUCUUCUUUUAUUAGCCUGGAAAGAAUUACUAACUAAUGCUAUCCUGCCAAAACUACUGUUGAGCUACUAUCACUGUGUGUUUGUGGUCAGAAUCAAAGUUGAGGCUGCGUCACGAUCAUUUGAACAGUAUUUGAAUUUGGGUUAAAUUCUGAUGUUGCUGUAGUAAAGAUCAGAGAUUGUAUUCCCUUAUGAUGAUGCAGUCUUUCUUUUCUUGACUGCUAACAUUUUCCUUUUUUGGGUUAAUAUUUCGUCUUGGAUAAUGCAUUACCCAAAAACUUGGAUGUCCAAAUUGGAGUUACUAUUAGACGUUAAAGGGUCCGAUUUGAACUUUGAUGGUGUAUAAUACUCAAUUGUGUGGACGAUUAUAUUGCCUUAUCAUACAUAAAUUUCUUAAGAUUGAGAAUUUCUGGAUGUUCAUCAAGAACUUGCUUUCGUAGUCGUGGAAGAUUACUCCUCUACUUUUUGUGGGAGAUACCCCUUUGAACUGGGUGCUGUAUCAAUGCAUACUUCUCUUAGCUCUUUCUUUUGAGUGAUUAAGAGCUGCAAAAACAUGUGCUUUUUUUUAUUGGAUCAUUAAUACUUUUACACUAUUAAGAGCCAAAUGUGAACUGAAACAUGACAAUUGUUUUGUGAUGCAAUCAUGCAUGGUUUACAACAUAAUUUUAAAUUGUGGAUUUUACAGUAGUGGUAUGAUUUGAUUUUGCUGAAGAAUAUGAUGGAGGACAAGCAAUUGAAUCUAAGCCGACCACUUCUUUCUGUGAGACGCCACACAUCAACCGUAGCCUCAGAAAAAGAUAGCAAAAAGAAUGAUCAAAGUUCAAUCUCAAGUGUUACUCGACCUCCUCCAUUUUACAAAUCGGAAUUAAAAUCAGGCCCAGUGAGGAAUGCAGGUACAGUGCCAUUUGUCUGGGAACAGAGCCCUGGGACGCCUAAGGAUGAGAGGACGCUUGAAACUCACACAGAAAGGCCACCAGUUGCACCAAAGCCUCCUCCUGGAAGAGUUUUGAAAGCUAACCAACAAGAUAAUGAUAAUUCUUCCAAAAAAUUAACUGUCAAUAAAAGCCAAGUUGGGAAUCCCCAGGGCUCGCAGAGUGCCUCAGAGUUGGGUGAUAGCAGUAGAAGGUUUAAGAUUACUGAGGAUACAGUGGAGGAAGCACAUGAAAGAAAAGAUGAUUCAGAGGAUGAGGAUGAAGUCUUUGAAGAUGCCCUGGAUACACUCUCAAGGACCGAAUCAUUUUUUGUGAACUGCAGUGUGAGCGGCAUAAGUGGAUUAGAUGACUUGGAUGCAAUGCCAUCUGGAACAUUCUCUACUGAUCCUCAGGCUCGAGACUUCAUGAUUGGUCGGUUUCUGCCUGCAGCCAAGGCAAUGGUUUCAGAAACACCUCAAUAUGCUCCUGCUCCAAAGAAACGACCAGUGGUUCAAGACAAUCCUAGGCAACUGAAGAAAGUAGUAAAUGCAGAUAACCGACCUCAGCUUAGGUAUGGACCUACUUUUGCAAAACAUUAUUCAGAAUUCCAUGACAAUGGAGAAGAAGAAGAAAGUGAUGAUGACUAUGUUGAACAUGAAAAUGUUCCAUCCAAAGUUUGUGGAUUACUGCCCCGAUUUUGCUUAAAGAGUCGUCUUUUAAAUCCUCUACCCGGGAUGAGUGUGAGGACUAGGACACCCAUGUCUCCCACGACAAGGAUGCAGGCUAGAUCUUCUUCUGCUAGUACUUGCAGCAAAACUGAAAAUGAGGUAACUGUUUUUUCUGAUCCAAUCCUCCCUCCUAUCCCACUAGGGGACCACAACCCAUAAGAAAAAGAGCAAAAAAGAAGAUAUGAAUAGACAAAAAGAAAAUAGUUGUCGAUCUUUUGCAGCAAGUUUGUGUUCACUGAAUUCAGUUGCUUUUCAUAUUUACAGCUGUCUAGUGUUGAUACGAGUGAGCAAAGAUCAAUUGAUGGAUCCCAAACAGCUGAGCUUCAUGAAGGGAAGAACGAUUUGAAUGUGAAGUCCAGUCAAAUCUCUUUGACGUCUCAGAAAUCUGAAAAAUCAUUGGCCAACGGGCAUGGUGGUGUGUCAAGCCAUUACAAUGAAUCACCUGCAUCAAUUGACCAAAGAGCUUUCCCGGUCAUUCCUGUUGAACCACAGGAUGCUAGUGUUGAUGGUUGCAGCUCUGAUGAGAAGAGUUACAGAAGCUUUAGGGACUUGUUGGCUGAUCAGAGCCCCUCUGAGGAAGUAAAUUCAGCAAGUCCUGCAGUUGAGAAAACUCUCUACGUAGAUACUGUGCAUAAAGGUGAAUCUCCUAAGAAAACAUGUUCUUUGGGUAUGAAAGGGCCGUCAAUUGAAAGAGAAACGAAUGAUGAAAUUUUACGCUCAGUAGAUUCUUCGCUCAUUGACCAUUUAAGCAUUGCUGAUGGAGGAGAUCCAUUAAAGACAAUUUCUCGAAAACCCCUUGACUUCAGUCUCCUUCCUUUGGCUGAUGAAUCCAGUCAAAAGAUCGAAAAGGAUAAUCGAAAGGCUUUUGGAGAAGAUCAAAAGCUUUACCAGGACAGAGUUGAUUCAAAAAUUACACAAGUGCCUGUCAAGCUAACUACUCAAACUUUAGGAAAGCAUACUGCCAAAGCAGAAAUAGUGGUAAAUUACCAUGGAAUCUCUGCCGAGUUUCCUGCUCCUCCACCAUUACCAAAAUCUCCAUCAGAUUCUUGGCUUUGUCGCACUUUGCCUUCCAUGUCUUCAAAGAAUUCAUCUAUACUUUCGCAUUUUGGGACAGGAAUGAAUCCAAGAAAUCAGGUUUCCAAGACACAAUCUGCUGAUCCCAAAUGGGAAACAAUAGUUAAAACAACAAAGGUGCAUCACCAUCAUUUGAGAUACUCUGAGGUAAAUUGGAUCGUUUUCUUUUUUUUUUUGGCUAACUCGAAGAUAAACUGAUUCGGUUCCUUUUACAUUACUAAUUCUUUUCACUGUUUUAUUACUUGCAACUUUUUCCUUUCUUUCAGGAGUUUCUAGCACCUAUACCAGAAAGCUAGAGAAAUCUUUCGUCAAGUCCUCUGCUUCAUGCUUCUGCUUCCUAUAUUCAUUAGUUUUCUGGCUUCAAAGGUCCUUGAUGGUACACAUAAUUUUCUGUGGGUUUAACUUUCCCAUCUUUUCCUCUGAGAACAGUAUAAGAUUCAAUUCUGCAAGUAAUACUCAAGACAAACACUGUGUGUAUAGUGAUUAGCAGAUUCAAAAAAAUCGAUACACGCUAUGCCCUGAGGGUUCUGUAAAUAGCAUCAUUAAUUUUUGCAGCACUACCCAAUAAGAAAGGUUCUGUGGGAAAAUUUACAUGCUCUUCCACGUUCUAUUUGCAUUACUUUUACCAUACUAGCAUGUUCUUUGGCUUAUGUGAAUCAUUUUCGGGACUAAACUGGUGGGCUCAAAUCUGUUGUAUAAUGAACCAAAGGAUCAGAAUCCGGAACUGGUGGAAGCAAAUAAAGAAAGCCAAUGCCAAUGUGUAAAGGAGCUUUUGAGCUACAUUCAUGAAUUUUUGGCCAGUGAAUGUGGUUGAUAGCUGGAGAUUCUGAGGUUGUACAAUGAAGAGGUGAAAUCAACUGAUUUACGAGUACGCACCGGGGACAAUAAGUCCAUUGGAGCGGAACUGGGAACCCCACAUGCAGUGACGGAGCCAGGAUUUUUUUUUUGGGGGGGCCAAAAUUGAAAUUCCAUUCAAAAAUGACUAAUUCAUAUAUAUAUAUAUAUAUAUAUAUAUAUCAACUCUCAUAAUAUAAACUAAAAUUGAAAAAAUUUAGGGGGGGUCAAUUUUAUUUUACACACAUAUUUACAUAUUAUGAAUUAAAAUUCUCAAAACUUAGGGGGGACCAUGGCCCCCCUCUACCCCCCUUGGCUCCGUCAUUGCCCACAUGGGUUGGUGCUUAGCUUAGUUUUCAAAGCUGAGUACAAUUAUCAUCAAUCUGAUUAACUAGAAUACACCAUAAUAUGUUAACAAUCUCCAAGAACGAAGGGACCACUGUCCCAAUAAAAACAAGAAGACUGAGGAGUUCCCCAGGCAACGGGGCACAUCUCAGAAGACAAAAAUACACGUGAAAAAUCUGCAAAUAUGUACGUAUCAUACGAGACUAUAAUCACGAACCUCCCAUUUUGCUCCUGGAUUUCCUGUUUCCGUGGUGCCACCAUCUCGGGAGUCGGGACUCUUUUGUUGGGUGGCCUUGUUAUGUAGGAGCCUAAACUGUUAGAAUACAGAAGCUAAUUAGGGAACAGGUGCAUCAACUAUUGACUGCACAAACAAGCAUUACUGUGUGGCUGCAAAGCAAUCGAGCUACUCGCUAGUCAAAACUCGAUUUGAACUCGAUUAAUAUCGAGCUCGAGUUGAGUUCAAACUUGCCAAAUCAAAUUUGAGCUCGAGCUCGAGUUCAAAAUAUUAAGCUCGUGAGCUCGAAUAUAUAUAUAUAUAUUUUAUUUAUUUUAAUAAUAAAAUUACAUAUAUAUUCCUAAUUUUUAAUUAUUUAUUAAGAAAAAAAUUAUUUUAUUAUUUUUUUAGAAAAUAAAAUAAUUAUUUUUUUUGAGCUUGAGUUUGAGUUUUAGAUUGAUAGCUCUUUGAGCUCGAACUAAAGUUUGAGUUUGAUAAAAUUAAAUCAAAACUCAACUCGAUUAAGUCAAAACACGAUUCGACUCGACUCGUUUAUAACUCUAGUACUAUAUAAGUCCAUUCAAGAACUCCCGUUUGAAAGAAUCAAACUUUUACUUGUGACCCAGGGAAAAACUUCAAUGGGGAAAAUAUUAUUAACUAACCAGAGCCCAUUUGUUCUUACUUCUUUGGCUAGUACCCCAUUUGAGUUUCUUCAACUUCUAAACAGUUGCCUUUUUUCACCAUUGCAUUGUGUUCUCCUAUCCCAGUAUUAGAUUGCUUCAAUCAUACUAAGUCGCAAGAGAAUUGAACGUGUUGUAAAACCCAGGAAACAGGAUCAAAGUCUAUGCGUAAAAGUCAAACUAUACAUUUUGCUUCAUUCUUUCCUUAUUCCAGAAUUCUGACGGUUUGACAAAAUCGAGACAUGAUACUACUCCCUCCGUUCCUUAUUAGAUGGCCUGAAUAACUAAUUCUCUUAGAUUAAGAAAGUUGAUUAUUUUCUAAAAGUCAACAAAAGUUUUACUUUACUUCUCAAAAUUACCCUUUAUCUCUCUUCAACUAUACCUAAUUAAUACUACCUGUCAUUUAAUUAUUUAGAGUUCCAAUUCAAGAAAAUUGAAAGGGUAAGCAAGGGUAAAUUUGGAAAAAAGUUCAUAAAUGCUUUCUUGAUAUCAUAAAAUGACUGAUAAAAAGAAACAAUGGAUUAGGACAUCUAAUAAGGAACGGAGGGAGUAAUAACUAAGAAUUCAUUUAUGAGAAAAUGUUUCCUUGCGGCUUCCCAACACCCAACCACUUUUCACGAAGUACAUCAACAAUUAAAGAAUUACUACUCGGUUUUGACUCGGAUGUUGAAAACCGUGAGUCCCAAAAAAAAAAAAAAAAUCUGCGGUUGCCCCUGCAAAUGAAUUACAUUACUCACAUUCAAUUCGAAAGACAACAAAUAUAUUAUUUGAAGUACUGUAGCAUUUUUUAUGAUGUUAUGUAUAUGAAAUAAAAAGGUGGUUGAGAAUAUAAAAAGGUGGGUUGGGAAAUGUGUUUAUGAUGCAAGUGUUAUUUGAGAUAAUAGUGAUAUCCAAACACUCGAUUUUAGGAAAAAAAAUUGUGAAGAUAGAUUUCGAUACUAGCACCUUUAAUACCGGGGUUCAUGAUUUUUAACAAGUCAACCAAUCCGUUUGGAUUGCUAUUUUUUUAAAAUUUUUAUUAAAAGAAUAUGCUGUAACGAUUUAAUGAAUGUAAAAUUAAAAAAUGAUUAAGUAAUUUCACAAAAAAUAUAAACAUUUUUCCUUAAAUAAUUGUAAUACAAACAAGGUUGAGAAGACUGGAUUUUUUUGGACAGUUAAUUCUUUAUUUAUAUUAUCAACACAUUUUCUAUCUACAUUUUUAUUCCACAUACAUCAUGUUAAAAAGUAAUACAGUAUUUUUUUUUUUUUUGGAAAAAGCCAAAGCAUGGUCUUUUGCUCAGAAUGCUGGGCCGUCCAAUGUGUGAAAAUGGGUUUGGACUCAUAGAACCCUCAAUUUGGGCUCCAUUACAUUUUGCCUGUGGCCGAGAAAAGCAUUUGGUAUUUACUAAUACGUAUUUUGAUUCUUAUCAAAAUGUUUUUCCUUAAAUUUGAUUCCAUUAAUAACAAAAACCAAUAGUUUUUUCAUCCCCUUGAUCUAAGAAGGGUCCGUGAGGAAAAGGAAAUUACGAAGUAGUUUUUUCAAAAAAAAAUUUCCUCAUCCACAGAUGACUUUAGAUUUAAAACGUUUUAUGGUCAAUUAAAAAACAGAAACGAGCGAAAAAGUAUUUUAAUGGGCUUUUCUAUUAAAACAUUGCGGUUGGCUAACACUUGCAAUUGGUUAAGUCAUAAGUGAGACGUUGGAGAUAGUAGAUUAUUUGAGAUAAUUUUGUAAAAAAAAAUACUGUAACACUUUUUUGAUAAAAUAAAAAAAUAUGAGACAGUUUGUUUACAAGAAAAAGUUAGAAAAUGAAAGAUAGUUAGUUAUUUUUUCUUUUGUGUAUGUUAGUUAUUUUUUGUGUCGGAUAAAAUUUGUAAAAUUGUGAAGGAAGAUGGUUGGAUAGACAUAAAAUUUUAUUAAUUGUUACUAACUACUGCUAAUUUCUUAUUUUCUCUCAAAAGUUGUCCUCUUCUGCAAGUUCUUUUACCUUACUUUCUCACACUGCAGUUUCUCACGUAACUUUCUCUCUAUUCAAACAGAACCUAGGUGAAAAAUUUUUGAAAAAGUGAAUUUAAUUUGACAAGAUAUCAAAUAUAUGUUACACUUAAACGUGCCCACGUUAAAAUAAAAAAAAAAAAAUAGGAUCGUCAUAGAUAUUGAACAAGAACAAUAGCAUUAGAAAAGGCAAGUGUCAAUCUAAAUCUUAGAGUAUCAAUUAUUCUUAGGGUUUGUUUGAUAACAUAAAAAAGUGCUGAAUCUGAACUUUUUCAGACAUUUAGAUGUUUUGAGUGUUUGAUAAAUGAAAAUUCAUUUGCUGAACUUGUUAAGUAGUGCUGAACUUGUGUGUAUUUUUUUCAGCACAAGAAUCCUAACUGAAUGCUUAAUUCUGAUAAGAAUCAAUAGAAUCACUUCAACUAUCUUAUCUUAUCUACCAAAUCUACCCUUAUUUAUUGAUUAUGUUUAAAAUUCUUGUAUAAUUAAACAACCUAAUAUUCUCUAUCUAAUGAUUUUCUAUUUUUUUUCUUCCUUUUGAAUGACUUUCACUUCUUCUCCAUACUCCUCAUAUAAUAUAAUUCAUCUUUUAUAUUAAUUUGAUUUAAAAAUAAAUAUUGUCAUUUUCAUACCUAAUAUUUUUAGCUAAUUAAAUUAUAGGUUCUAUUUCUUUUUUGGAUGAAAAGAUAUAAGGGCAAAAUUGUCAAAUUUAACUUAUUAAGCAUUCAGUUAUAAUUGUUUAUCAAACAGUAUAAAUAGGUUUAGUAUUAAAAUUCAAACAUUCAUAUAUUUCUUUUCAGUGUUUAAAAUUCAGCAAAUUAAUUGUUUCAGUAUUCAGAUUUCAGAAUUCAGACUUCAGAAUUCAGAUUCAGUUUUAUCAAACGGAACCUUAGUCAACAGAAGUAAAACUGGUGCCACAUAUAAGCUCCUUUCCUAAACUAAUGUCCGAAAACGAUUCAAAUUACUAUCGAAAACGAUAAUGUCUUUACUAGCUCAUACAAAACCCAAAACAAUGCCACCUAUAAAUAUCAAAUACCACUAGUAUCAAAUGCUAGUGUGAAGCAUAUUUUUCAGAAAAAAAGCAUAAUCAUAUAUGCCGAGAUUGCUGGAUUUUCCAAUGGUUGUUGGUGCAGUCGGUUUAGAUGAUAGCUGGACUACGGGUCACACAUCAACAGGAUUCAUUAUUCUGUGCUCCGUGCUACCUAUAAUUGCAUUUAUAGUUGGUUCUGUUUGCGGUUGGGUGUUGCAAUGGUGAUCAAGAACAUGAUCAAGACUCAUCAAAGAAGAAGAGGAUUAGCAAGGCUUGUACUGAGCCUCCCAAUUAUAACACUUAUGACGACUAUUAUGGUUCUGAGAAGAAGAGUUCGUCCACUAAUGGAAGUUCUAGCUCUAGCAACACCAUGAAUUAUCUGGCUUAUUUUGCUGCUAAUAAUGCUCUUUCUGCUGUUGGUGGUGGUGGUGGUGGUGAUGGUGACAGGGGCCAUCAUCAUCACCAUCACGGCCGCCACCACCACCAUCAUCAUGGCCAUCACCACCACCACCAUCAUGUUAGAUAAAUGCAUGUACUUGGCCUUUGAUAUAAGGGACAGGGUUUUGGAGGCGUUUCCAUAGUGAAAUUUAUGCGAGAGCUUUUGCGGAAUGUAAAUUCUAAACCCCUGAAAACUUUAAUUAUCUUUGACAUUGCUUUUUUUUUUUUUUUUAAAUGGUAAUUAUGACCUGGGCUUACCAUUUGUCAAGGAAAACUUAUCCUGAUGACGUUUUGUAAGUAUAUUUCUUAUGCACAAUAGUUAUUGGCACUCCCGAUUUUUUAUUAAUGGUAGCUUGAAAAAGAAUUGCAUAGGAAAUGCAGAGCCAUUAAUUAUAAUUCAGAGUGCCAAUGUAACGCGUUAUAAUGAGCAAAUUUCUCUAAUAGUCCUUCAACUUUUUUAUUAAUCCACGUUUGGUUCUCCAUCUUAAAAAUGGGUAGAAUGAAAAUUUGUUGGGUCAAAUUGAUCCUUAUAUUGUAGAGCGUCCAAGAAAAACUUGGAUCAAAGUGGCAAUGAGAUUUGAAUUUCUUGGCUAUUCCGCCGCAUAGGGACCAAUUUGGGCCAAAAAAUUUUGUUGGAGAACAAUUAUGUUUAAUUUUUAAGAUGGAGGACCAAACAUGGAUUAGUAAAAAAAAUUGAAAGACAAUUUGGGGGAUUUGCUCCAUUCUAAUUAUGUAGUUAAAAAAGUUAGAAAAGUCUUUGCAAGAACAAAAUAUGUUUAAAAAUGUCUUGGGUCUAUUGAAGUAGCUCUCAACUAAUUGGUUACGUGCUUUAAACAACACAAGAUUUUUCUCUGUUCCCUAUUUCACUCAACUGCCAAACGCAGUUUUCCCCCCUUUUUCUCGAAAAAAUGGGAGCCACCAGCAAGAUAGGAAUGGUAACGAUGAAAUAAAACCGUGAGCAAAUUCUAGGGAAAAGCAACACAACGGAUCUUCUGUCUCACACCCUGUGCCAUACAGUGAGCAAAUUUAACAAACUCAAAAAAUCAAAAUGCAUAAAAAAUGAGAUUUUUUUAUGAAUUUUCUGCUGUAUUUUUAAAUUUUUUAUUAUAUAUUAGUUUUUUGAAGCUGUUGUAUUUAUUUUUUACUCAAUUAAUAGUUAUUGGAUCUUAAGGAAAUAAAAAAGAAUUAAAACAUGAUGUUUGUGAAGGAGAAAUAACAAUAUAAUAAAAAGUGGAACCGAGAGUGGCACAGAGUGUGGGAUAAAAGAUCCGUUGCGAGCAAUAUAAUUUUCUGUUGUAUUUUUUAAUUUUCUAUUAUAUAUUAGUUUUUUGAAGCUGUUGUAUUUAUUUUUUACUCAAUUAAUAGUUAUUGGAUCUUAAGAAAAUAAAAAAGAAUUAAAACAUGAUGUUUGUGAAGGAGAAAUAGCAAUAUAAUAAAAAGUGGCACAGAGUGUGGGACAGAAGAUCCGUUGCGAGCAAGCAUACACUAUCUUGUGUAAUUAACUUAUAAUUCAUGAGACGAAUAAGUCAUGAUCCAGUCUCGCUUCUUUAUAUCUUGUCUUAAUCACUGACCUAAUCAAGAAGUUGCUUGAUCCAGUCUCAUUUUCUUCUGUCUCUCCUCAAUUGGUUAAGUAAUCAAAGAGAUGCUUUGAGAGGCAAAUGACAAAUAAGUCUUGAGAGGCAAACUGAUUAAUCGCCUUUUAUUAUUCAAUUUUUUAGUUUCCUUGCAUCUCAAGACUUAGAAAAAGUCCAAAAAUUUUUUUAAUCCGGAGAGAGAAAAAAUGCCAGUACUACAUAGAAUUCUAUAGUCAACUAAGGCUGCGUACAAAUAUUAGAAUGCAAUAAUUCAUCAUUAUUCUGAUCAAAGGCCUCUAGGAAUUAGCUGGCAGUGUGAAAUACAACAAUUUCAGAAAAUUGCCCUUUGCAUUUACAGUAAUGUAAUCUAUACAAAUGCAAAAAUCUAUCGAAACAUUUCUGGGGGAUUCCCCAUUCAAGAACUAGUUCAUUUGUUUGACUUGGGAGGCAUUCUAAUUGAACUUGAUGGAAAGGAACGGUUUUGGACGCGUAUCAAGUUUGGAAUUUAUCUUUGUGGUAUGUAAAUUCUAAUUCUAAGAAAACGAAAUUAUCUUUGACUAGCGUUUAAUUAUAAUUAUGACUUUGAUUUAACAUUUUCCAAAGAAUAAUUACUGUAAUUAAUACUAGUUCGGAUUGAUCUUUCUUAUAACCUCCUAAAAUCUUUAAAAUUAUUAGUACUGAAUACAUGACACAUAAUCGUUAUUCAAAUUUUAAUCCUCUUGUUGUACAUGUUGCGUGAAUCUAGACUCAGCGACGUGAAAAUAUACACUAAUGCUAUUGCAAACAUUAAUCCAAAUGGUUUAAAUUUUUUAUACAUUAAUGGUUGAUAAGGUAAUAUAACAAUUAAUAUUUUUAGAAUUACAAGUCAUAGUUCAAAUUCGCUAUCCUGCCUUCCCGCUUCUCGCACCUCAUCUUUUUCUUGCUCAAAAGAAAAUCAACUAAUGUUACUGGCCCUUCAUUUUGUUAAUGGCGCUCCAAUGGGCUUUUGUAAAAUUGAAAAGUAGAUGAAGCAUUUUUUUAAAUUAUUUUUGUCCAUCAAUAAUGAUCACGAAUAUGUAUAUAUAUAUUUAUUUAUUUUAAUAAUAAAAUUACAUAUAUAUUUCUAAUUUUUAAUUAUUUAUUCAGAAAAAAAUUAUUUUAUUUAUUUUUUUAGAAAAUAAAAUAAUUAUUUUUUAUUUUUUCGAGCUCAAGCUUGAGUUUUAGAUUGAUAGCUCUUUGAGCUCGAACUCAAGUUUGAGUUUGAUAAAUUUAAAUCAAAACUUAGUUCAAUUAGAUCAAAACUCAACUCGACUCGACUUGUUUGUAGCUCUGAUACUGUAUAAAAGUUCUAGACAAAGUCCAUUCAAGAACUCUCCUUUGAAAAGAAUCAAACUUUUACUUGUGACCCAGGGGAAAACUUCAAUGGGGAAAAUAUUAUUAACUGACCAGAGCCCAUUUGUUCUUACUUCUUUCGCUAGUACCCCGUUUGAGUUUUCUUCAACUUCUAAACAGUUGCCUUUUUUCACCACUGCAUUGUGUUCUCCUAUCCCAGUAUUAGAUUGCUUCAAUCAUACUAAGUCGCAAGAGAAUUGAACGUGUUGUAAAACCCAGGAAACAGGAUCAAAGUCUAUGCGUAAAAGUCAAACUAUACAUUUUGCUUCAUUCAAAUGUAUAAAUAAAUAUAUAUAUAUAUAUACAUAGAUGUAUAAAUAAAAAUUCAUUUGCUGAACUUGUUAAGUAGUCCUGAACUUUAUUUAUACAUCUAAAUAAAAAUUCAUUUGCUGAACUUGUUAAGUAGUGUUGAACUUGUGUGUAUUUUUUUCAGCACAAGAAUCCUAACUGAAUGCUUAAUUCUGAUAAGAAUCAAUAGAAUUACUUCAACUAUCUUAUCUUAUCUACCAAAUCUACCCUUAUUUAUUAAUUAUGUUCAAAAUUCUUGUAUAAUUAAACAACCUAAUAUUCUCUAUCUAAUGAUUUUCUAUUUUUUUUCUCCCUUUUGAAUGACUUUCACUUCUUCUCCAUACUCCUCAUAUAAUAUAAUUCAUCUUUUAUAUUAAUUUGAUUUAAAAAUAAAUUUUGUCAUUUUCAUACCUAACAUUUUUAGCUAAUUAAAUUAUAGGUUCUAUUUCUUUUUUGGAUGAAAAGAUAUAAGGGCAAAAUUGUCAAAUUUAACUUAUUAAACAUUUAGUUAUAAUUGUUUAUCAAAUAGUAUAAAUAGGUUUAGCAUUAAAAUUCAGACAUUCAUAUAUUUCUUUUCAGUGCUUAAAAUUCAGCAAAUUAAUUGUUUGAGUAUUCAGAUUUCAGAUUUCAGAAUUCAUAAUUCAGAUUCAGUUUUAUCAAACGGAACAUUAGUCAACAAAAGUAAAACCGGUGCCACAUAUAAGCUCCUUUCCUGAAAACGAUUCAAAUUACCAUCGAAAACGAUAAUGUCUUUACUAGCUCAUACAAAACCCAAAACAAUGCCACCUAUAAAUAUCAAAUACUACUAGUAUCAAAUGCUAGUGUGAAGCUUUUCAGAAAAAAAACAUAAUCAUAUAUGCCGAGAUUGCUCAAUUUUCCAAUGGUGGUUGGUGUAGUCGGUUAAGAUGAUAGAUGGACUACGGGUCACACUUCAACAGGAUUCAUUAUUCUGUGCUCCGUGCUAUCUAUAAUUGCAUUUAUAGUUGGUUCUGUAUUGAUCCUGUUUGCGGUUGGAUGUUGCAAUGGUGAUCAAGAACGUGAUCAAGACUCAUCAAAGAAGAAGAGGAUUAGCAAGGCUUGUACUGAGCCUCCCAAUUAUAACACUUAUGACGACUAUUAUGGUUCUGAGAAGAAGAGUUCGUCCACUGAUGGAAGUUGUAGCUCUAGCAACACCAUGAAUUAUCUGGCUUAUUUUGCUGCUAAUAAUGCUCUUUCUGCUGUUGGUGGUGGUGGUGGUGAUGGUGACAGGGGCCAUCAUCAUCACCAUCACGGCCGCCACGACCACCAUCAUCAUGGCCAUCACCACCACCACCAUCAUGUUAGAUAAAUGCAUGUACUUGGCCUUUGAUAUAAGGGACAGGGUUUUGGAGGCGUUUCCAUAGUGAAAUUUAUGCGAGAGCUUUUGCGGAAUAUAAAUUCUAAACCCCUGAAAACUUUAAUUAUCUUUGACAUUGCUUUUUUUUUUUUUUAAAUGGUAAUUAUGACCUGGGCUUACCAUUUGUCAAGGAAAACUUAUCCUGAUGACGUUUUGUAAGUAUAUUUCUUAUGCACAAUAGUUAUUGGCACUCCCGAUUUUUUAUUAAUGGUAGCUUGAAAAAGAAUUGUAAAGGAAAUGCAGAGCCAUUAAUUAUAAUUUAGAGUGCCAAUGUAACGCGUUAUAAUGAGCAAAUUUCUCUAAUAGUCCUUCAACUUUUUUAUUAAUCCACGUUUGGUUCUCCAUCUUAAAAAUGGGAUAGAAUGGUUAUUCAAUAAAAUUUUUUUGGGUCAAAUUGAUCCUUAUAUUGUAGAGCGUCCAAGAAAAACUUGGAUCAAAGUGGCAAUGAGAUUUGAAUUUUCUUGGCUAUUCCGCCACAUAGGGAUCAAUUUGGGCCAAAAAAUUUUGUUUGAGAACCAUUAUGUUUGAUUUUUAAGAUGGAGGACCAAACAUGAAUUAGUACAAAAAAAUUGAAAGACAAUUUGGGGGAUUUGCUCCAUUCUAAUUAUGUGGUUAAAAAAGUCUUUGCAAGAACAAAAUAUAUUUAAAAAUGUCUUGGGUCUAUUGAAGUAGCUCUCAACUAAUUGGUUACGUGCUUUAAACAACACAAGAUUUCGAUUAAUAGUUAUUGGAUCUUAAGGAAAUAAAAAAGAAUUAAAACAUGAUAUUUGUGAAGAAAAAAUAGCAAUAUAAUAAAAAGUGGGACAGAGAGUGACACAGGGUGUGGAACAGAAGAUCCGUUGCGAAAAACGCAUGAGACGAAUAACUUCUUUAUAUCUUGUCUUAAUCACUGACCUAAUCAAGAAGUUGCUUGAUCCAUUCUCAUUUUCUUCUUUCUCUCCUCAAUUGUUUAAGUAAUCAAAGAGAUGCUUUGAGAGGCAAAUGACAAAUUAGUCUUGAGAGGCAAACUGAUUAAUCGCCUUUUAUUAUUCAAUUUUUUAGUUUCCUUGCAUCUCAAGACUUAGAACAAGUCCAAAAAAAUUUUUUAAUCCGGAGAGAGCAAAAAUGCCAGUACUACAUAGAAUUCUAUAGUCAACUAAGGCUGCGUACAAAUAUUAGAAUGCAAUAAUUCAUCAUUAUUCUGAUCAAAGGCCUCUAGGAUUUAGCUGGUAGUGUGAAAUACAACAAUUUCAGAAAAUUGCCCUUUGCAUUUACAGUAAUGUAAUCUAUACAAAUGCAAAAAUCUAUCGAAAUCCCCAUUCAAGAACUAGUUCAUUUCUUUGACUUGGGAGUCAUUUUAAUUGGACUUGAUGGAAAGGAACGGUUUUGGACGCGUAUCAAGUUUGGAAUUUAUCUUUGUGGUAUGUAAAUUCUAAUUCUAAGAAAACGAAAUUAUCUUUGACUAGGGUUUAAUUAUAAUUAUGACUUUGAUUUAAUAUUUUCCAAAGAAUAAUUACUGUAAUACUAGUUCGGAUUGAUCUUUCUUAUAACCUCCUAAAAUCUUUAAAAUUAUUAGUACUGAAUACAUGACACAUAAUCGUUAUCCAAAUUUUAAUUCUCUUGUUGUACAUGUUGUGUGAAUCUAGACUCAGCGACGUGAAAAUAUACACUAAUGCUAUUGCAAACAUUAAUCCAAAUGGUUUAAAUUUUUUAUACAUUAAUGGUUGAUAAGGUAAUGUAACAAUUAAUAUUUUUAGAAUUACAAGUCAUAGUUCAAAUUCGCUAUCCGGCCUUCCCGCUUCUCGCAACUCAUCUUUUUCUUGCUUGAAAGAAAAUCAACUAAUGUUACUGGCCCUUCAUUUUGUUAAUGGCGCUCCAAUGGGCUUUUGUAAAAUUGAAAAGUAGAUGAAGCACUUUUUUUAAUUAUUUUUGUCCAUCAAUAAUGAUCACGUUAUAUAAUUAAAAAUGUUAGAAAACUAUAUGCUGCAAUCCUUAUAAAUUAUAUUAUGCUUCUAUACGGAAAGACAUACUUCAUAUUUCUUCUGAAUGUAAAUGUAGUAAGAGAAAAUUUAUUUAAUUUAUACACUUUUGUGUGUAUGAUCAUGGGUAGGUUUCAAAAAUAAAAGCAAAAAAGCAUUUGUGUUUUUGGUUGCAUAUUUGUUUCAAUACUUUCUAUUUCAAGAUUUCUUUACAACUACACUCUUUUGUCUUUUUUUUUUCCCCAACAUUUUGCUCAAAUGACAAAUGCAGUUCCUCCUCCUCGAAACAACAUCGGGAGCUAGCAAGGCAGGGAUUAAAGUAGAACAAGUCCUACAUUUUUUUGGAACCCCCUCUCCCCCGACAAACAUCCAAACCUCAAAAAAAGGGAUAAUUUCAUAAACCUCUCCUAAGAUUUCUGACAAUUUCACUAAUCUCCCCUAAGAUUAAGGUUUUGAUAAUAAAAUCAGUCCAAUUAGAAAAAGUAACAUUAAAAAAUACUUUAAGGAGAGAGAUGAAACAUUAUUUCAUAAAUACCCCUUAUGCAUGUAUAUAAGUUGUAUUAAUAAAAAAAUAAAAAUAAUUAAAAACUAAAAACAAUUAAUACAUAUAUUUCAUCAUUCAAAAAGUUCACAUUUAAUAAAUUAAACAAUAUAAAUAAGCAACAAAACUACACUAAUGAUUACAAGAUUUAACAAAGCAGACUAGUUAUCUCUUUUGAUAUGAUGUUUGCUAUGAUUCUUGUGAUUUUGAACAGAAUUUUCUUUCCCCUCCAUUCUCCUUUACUAAUAUCUAACGAUUAAGUAAUUAGAGCACUAAUUAACUAUUAGUAUAACGAAAAUAACUGUUAAAAAUUUCUUUAAUGAUGAACAAUGACUUAUAUUUACAAAAUAACAUUAAUUGAUAUACCUAAUGGAAAAAAGGAGGGAAAAUGAAAAUUUUUCUAUUCAAAAUCACAAGAAUCAUAUCAAACAUCAUACUAAAAGAGAUAACUAGUCUGAUUUGCUGAAUCUUGUGAUCAUUAGUAUAGUUUUAUUGCUUAUUUAUGUUGCUUAAUUUAUUAAAUGUGAACUUUUUGAGUGGUCAAAUGUGUGUAUUAAUUGUUUCUAACUUUUAAUUAUUUUUAUUCUUUUAUUAAUAUAACUUAUGUACAUACACAAGGGGUAUUUAUGAAAUCAUAGUUUCAUCUCUCUAUUUAAAGUACUUUUUUAAUAUUAUUUUUUUUAAUUGGACUAAUUUUGUCAUUAAAACCUUAGUCUCAAGGGAGGUAUGUAUAAUUUUAUAAAUUUUAGGAAAGGUUAGUGAAAUUGUCAGAAACCUCAAGGGAGGUUGCGAAAUUAUCCCAAAAAUAAAAAGUUGACUGAGUUCGCCAGACUUAGAACAAGCAAUACAAUUUAUCACUCACUCUCUCUCUUAAAUUCGGACAACGAAAAAUACUAGUAGUAUUUGACUGACUCAAUCUUGAUGGCCACCGACCAUUAAACUUGAACCAUCGAUGAUCCGUCAAUCCAUCUUGUCGGCAGUAGCGUUAAAUAUAAUUCUCAUGAUGUGUGGGCUCUGGCUAGUAGUGUGGAAUACAUAUUCAGAAAAGAAAUAUACAUAUAUCAUAUAUGGGAAGGAUGCUAAAUUUUUCGAUGGUUGGUGUGGUCGGUCCAGAUGAUGGAUGGAACAUUGAAUUCAUUUUUUUGUUAGUGUUCGGAUUCAUGUUUGUAUGUGUAAUCGGUUCUUUAGUGAUCCUAUGUUGGAACAGAUGGUGCGGUCGUAAAGAACUUGAUCAAGAUCAUCAAGAGGAAAAUCCCUGUUAUAAUACUUUUGGCAAUUAUGGUUCUGGGAAGAAGAAGAGUAAGUCCACUGGAACUACCAGCUCUAGCAGCGCAAUAAAUUAUCUCGCUUAUUUUGCUGCUGUUGCUUCUCUUGCUGGCGGUGGUUAUGGGGGCGGCAACGGCCACCACGACCAUCACCACCAUCACGGCCACCAUCAUCACAAUCCCGGGCAUCACCACGGCCACCAUCACAAUCCUGCAGGGCAUCACCACCAUCAUCACAAUCCCGGGCAUCACCACGGCCACCAUCAUCAUGGCGUUUGAUGGUAAGCUAUGCAACAUAUAUAAGAUGCAUUUGGUAAAAACCAAUCUAAGUAAUGAAGCUUUUGGACGUAUUUCAAUUUCAGAAUAUAUCUUAAGAGUUAUCGUGGCAUGUAACUUGUAAUCCAAGGAAAGUUUUGUUUAUCUUUGCGAUUGAUUUUUUUGUUUCUCUUUGAGAAGAGACAAAUUCUUUUAUAGAUGCUCUGGAGUUCAGAAACUCCGAUAGUGAGCAAAAACCACAACAAAAAGAAUGUGCCGAGGUUUUGGCGUACAUACAUCAUGUAGACUUUGAGAAAAAUACACAAGAAAAUGUAAAACUCAGGAAAACAUUGCAUUCAUACAUGACUAGGAGUCUAGGACCAAAGCUCUGGAAUUUUUCUGAAUAUUCUGUUUCCGAUAUCUGUACUAUAGUUCGGUGGUUAAUAAUAAGCCACCUUAGAAGACUCGGAUUACUAGUCAAAAUGGGCAUUAUUAGAUGAAUUCACGACCUUUAUAAUUUUAGUCGAAACCGGAAAAUCGUUAAUUGUUACUACACUUGGUAAAUUAUGGUUGGAUGCUGGGAGCUAGAAGGAAACAUGACUUUUUUUCUUUUUAAAGAGAAUUGAUUAUGAUUUUUACUUACCCGCAAUGACUCGAACACAUAAUCUCUCGAUUAUAGGUGAAACGUUUUAUCUAUUUAGUUACGUUCGUUAUCAAAAUCAUUUGAGGCACGACUUAUCACUUAUCAAGUGAAAAAUUAACGGCACAACUAAUCAUUUAUUAGUGAAAAAUUAACCUUUUUGGAACAAGAAAUGAUCUAAAAGAUUAUACCAUUUGAAAGGUGAUUGUAUAUCAUAUUCAAAAAGUCGAACAUUUUUUUCUUGAAAUCUUUUUUAAUCAAAUUUUCAGUUCAAUUCAAUGGAAAUGCACAGGUGAGAUUCUCCAUAAAAGUUCUAGACCAAACUUGAAAAAAUGAUAUAUGGUUUGGCUAAUGAGUACCCAUUGGGCAGUUGAUAAAAGAGGAAUUGCAUGUUAAUUCCCAAAAGUAUCACAAUUCAGGAAGUAUAAUGGGGGAGGAUUGGGUUGGAUGUUUACCGAGAGGGGGAGGUGGAUUGUAAGUAGGAAGUUUUGGACUGAAACACUUCUAUUUAUUGAAAAAAAUUCAGGAGAUAUAAUAAAUACGAGUGUAUGUUUAUAUGCUAAUUUAGGAGUGAUUUAGGUAUCUUAACGACUACGCACCCGUUAGAAAAUUUUAAUUAUAAAGGUGGUUGUAAUUUGUCCCUCAAAUUUGGUUGUAGGAGAGCAAUGCAUGGUUUGCUUACCAAAGGGAACACACCGUUUGAAUUAUAUAUAUAUAUAUAUAUAUAUAUAUAUAUAUAUAUAUAUAUAUAUAUAUAUAUAUAUAUAUAUAUAUAUAUAUAUCGACUGACUUAGCUUCUGGGACCCUAAAACUUGCUUGAUAUAUUAUUUCUCUGAUGAUUAGCUUUUGCUUACCAAAAUCCUAUCCUUCCCAGCUUCUAAGGUCUAAUCAUGUUUCAGGUGUAGUAAUCGAACUCUUUCCUUUGACACCACCUUUGGAUUAUUAGAUAAUUUACCUCACACAAGCAAUGGGGCCAAAAAGAAAACUAAUAAUCUUGGACCAUCCAUCAUUUGACCUUUUCUGCAUCAGAAUUCUCAAGUUUAGGGUUGAAAUCGAGAAAUGAAGCGGAUCAUAAUUCUCCGAAACUAUUGACUGGUAUUAUGUAUAAACUGAAUUACUGGUGCAUUCAACCCAAAAAAAAAAAAAAAAAAAAAAAACUUUUGGCCACGAGCUAGUACAUAGACAAGAACCCAAUUUAAUUAGUGAUCUAAUACGAAAUUUUGACCAGGCAACACACGAGUUUGGCGGCCAAAUAUCUUAUCCUUCUAGCUCUUGUCUUGAACGACAAAGCACGUUCAAAGCAAUCAGGACCAGGAAAUUAAUCAUAUGUAUGCAAAGAGAAUUAUAAAUGAGUCAUGGAAGCAUUACAAAAUCAGCCCGACAAGGACUCUAUUUCAAACCCAAAACAAUGUCAAAAAAUAACAGCAAUAUCAUCCAAAUCAAUCAACCCAUAGCAAUUACAUAAAUCGAUCGAUGCCUAUACAUACCCGUAUAGGCCGUCCAGUUUUAAGUCCGAAAAACUUUCUUCAACAUUAAUGAAGAUGGUUAGGUUCUUGAAGGCUUCGUUGAACGGUUGUGGUAGCUUUUCAAAUUGCGUAGCUCCAAGCACAGGCGGCUAUGGAGGGCUGCUUGUGCUCUGCAUGUUUGUGGUAACUUCUCUUGUAGCGGUCAUCGUGAUUAUAUUUGGAUGUGGCGAUCAUCAAGAUAAAAAAUCAGCCAAGAAGAAACAAACUAGAACCUCUAGCACCAGUACAAGCAGAUCUUGUGGUUAUGGCGCAGGUGCUCGUGCUGGUCAAGCUAAAGAAUCAGCGAAGAAGGUGCAAUGUAGAACUAAUAGCACUAGCAGCUCUGAUGAUUAUUAUUUCCUUUAUUAUGGUGCUGGCGCUGCUUUAAGUACUAGUAGUGCAUGUGAUGGGCAUGGAGGUGGUGGCAGCCAUGACGGCCAUGGAGGCAAUUGUGGUGGUCAUGGUGGUGGUUGUGGUGGUGACGGGUGCGAUGGUGGCGGCUGUGGUGGGGGUGGCUGUGGAGGUAAUUAGCCAAAGAUGUGCCCAGAAGAACCGGGGAAUUGCUUUAUUUAUUUAUUUAUUUAUUUUGGAAUUUUCAUCAUUGAACUGUACUUAAUAUACAGGUUUUAGACGAAUCACUAUUUUGAAUACUUGAAACAUAUAUCUGAUAAUUCAUACUAUCUUAGGGACUGUGUUCGUUAGUUUUAUUCUUCCAAUUGUAAUACACCCUAUUAGUUGUGUAAGUUAUGAACUCAAAUUGAAAAAAAAAAUUUAAAAAAAAAAGAAAUCUAAUAGUUUCUGAGUUUUAUUUUUUUCUUUGAUUUACUUUGCAAUUAAGAUAAAAUUAAAAAUUUUUUUACCUUCAUAUCUCUCUUCACACCCUUCCUAGUUUCUUAUUAAUGUGUGUGUGUGUGUGUGUGUAUAUAUAUAUUCAUUCUAAUAUUUGCAUUCAUGCCAGCACAUAUAUAUCAAACAUGACACAGAUACAUAAUUCUAAUAAUAAAAUUUACAAUAAUUACGAUAUUGGACAGAGGUCUUCUAAACCUUUGGUAUAGGUUCAAGCAAAUCCAAUUGGAUGCAAGUUCAUUUCAUGUCUUUGACUCCGCAUGAAUUUGUGUCAAUUAUUUGGAUUUGGCUCCAGUGUUCCGCCUUAAAGUUAGGAUGCAUAAACAAAAUCCUUGGCUGGGAUUUAUUUGUACUCAUGAAAAAAAAAAAGUAUACAAAGAAAAAACUAACAAUUUAACUUAUUUUUUGUCUAUAAAAAUACCCAUCCGUCCAGUUAAUUUCCUUCAAUUCUGAAGAGAAAGUAACGAGUGCAUGAGUCCUGUUGUUUCAAUUUUCAUGCCAUGUUCAAGAAGAAGAGUUUGAUUGAUGCAACUGAAGAUUAAAAGAGGCCUGUGAGCAAUUUCCUUGUCCAUCGAAAGCCCAGAUUCCUUGCAUUGCACUGCAGUAAUAUACAGGAAAGAAUGGCAAGAUUCCUGAUCUCGCCUUUGGAUGGUGCCAAUCCAUAUAGGUUAGGUGCAAAAAACAGUGGUUAUGGAGGCUUGGUUUUGGUUGGCAUGAUAAUAGCAUCCCUUGCAAUUUUAUCCAUGAUUAUAUUUGCAUGUGGCAGUAGCCAAGGUUAUGAAGGUUCAUCAAAGAAGGGCAAACGUGAUAGAUUUUUGGUUUAUUAUAAUAAUUAUGGUAGCGAUGGUGGACAUGGCCGUGGUGGUGGCCAUGAUGAAAGCUGCGGCGACGGUGGCGGCGGAGGAAGCAGCAGUUACCAUGGUGGUGGCUGUGGUGGAGGAUAAGAGCGGUUUCACUACAUCUCUUGAUGAUUCAAACCCGCAAUUUAUUAAUACAUCUCUUGAUGAUUCAAACCCGCAAUUUAUUAAUUACAGGUGAAGCAUCUUACCAACUAAACCGUGCUUCGUUGUCAAUUGAUGUGUUAAACAACAUUUAGAAUGUAAAAUUCAGUUUCUGACUGAUGGGAAUUCUGAAGUGGUAUUAGUACAUAUGCGGUUUAUCUGGAGGCCUUCUUGUAAUGUAUUACAAAUACUAAUUAGAAGCUGAUAGAUACUAAUUUCUGAAGAUGUUGGUGCACUUGUACGAUUUUUCUUCAGAAGAUCCAUAAUGAUCAGUUGUGAUUUAUGAACUCAAGAACACAACUAGGCAAUGAUUACUGCACGUUUUGUUAUCUAAUGUUUGGGCAUGCAUAAAUAUGCACGUAAUGAUGAGGUGAUCUCUCUUGUGCCAGCAGAAAAUUUGUUCCAGCAAAACCCUAAUUGGCUAAUAUCCUAAUCUCGUAGUACAACAAUUAAUGUCUUGCUGGAUUGCGUCAAUCACUUCAUAAACUGCAUUGCUUUGUCCAGUGAUAUGGAGCUGAAUACAUAGAAAUAAGAAAUAACCAGCCAACAUAUGCAAGAUUAACUCGCUAGGGAAAUCAUCUGGUAUCAAAAGCAGAAGUUGCAGGUAUGACCAAAUUCUAAGAUCUCAACCAAAAAGUUUGUCGACUAAUAUAAGGUGAGUGUUCUAUAAAAGGGAUAUCUAGUUGAUUAAUAUGUACAACUCCAAAUGCCAAAGUUCUAUGGCACAGAAAAUGAAUUGUUGAUUAUUUUGACAGUUUUAACACAUUAGCAAAUUUCACCUAAAAAAAGCGCUCAAAUGAAGCUCACAAUUCAUUCACAAAACUAAUAACCCCACCAAAAUUUGAAGGUUAAGUUUUGAUAACGCGGCCCUUGUACUGUCCUCU
rnacentral:lncRNA from 1 species